rnacentral:lncRNA from 1 species
GCACAAAGAACCACAAUGCCGCGACCAACACAAAGACAAAGUAGAGUAGCACAUUUCCAUAGCGACCAACAGAGAUAGAUAAACGGAUAGAUAAACAGACCGGCACGAAGGCACGGCACAGGCAUAGAAUAAAUAAUUCAUGUAUCGACAAGUAUAGAUAGAUGGAUAAAGAUGAAUCAUAUAGCAAGUGUAUGAAAGCAGAAUAGGGUUUUUGUUGGCAUCGGGAAUGACGCCAACUAGGGUUCGGGGCUCGACCUUGGAGCCGAUGGGCUGUGGUAGCAGCUGUUGUUCUUCGGAUGCAGCGAAGUGGUGGUCAUGCUUGGUCGCGCGGCUUCGUCAUUGGCCGGUGCUCGGCAAGGUGUUGCAAAGGCGAUCAGCGGUGCUGCGAGGUUCCACUCAUGGUAGCUCUAGCGUUGCGGCUUCCAUGGGAAGGUGCAGCAGGUCCGAGGCCUCCCUGUGACAGUGGUUGAACACGGCACCCAGGCCGACUGUUAGCCAAGAACCACGGUAUGGUCUUCAGAACGGAAAGAAAGGUAUGGCCUUGGCUUGAGAGCUCACCGAUGACAGAGAAGGGCUUGGCGAGGACGAGGCGAGCACGGCACUGACGAGGGGAACUGGUGGGGGCGCUGCUCGACGUCGUGGCCGCAGGGGUGGUGCUUGGCGCUCGGGUUCGCGGUCACCACGGGGUUGCUGGGUCACGACCAGCGCUGCGGACGACGGUGUCGUGGAGGAGGGCUCGGAGCAGAACUCGGUGAGGACGCAGCGUCGCGGGGUCGGGGCUCCUGCUCGGCGAGGGCGCGGAGAUCCUACUCGACGUCGAGGUAGAGGCGCGGCUUGACGGCGGCGGGUGCGCGGGGUGGUGCCGAGGACGAGGCGUGUCGCGGACACGGCGUCGCGACGGCGGUGCGCGGGGACAGGGCUCGGCGCGGCGGGGCGUCCGCGCGGCCGGCCAGGUCGGAGACGCGGACACGGAGAGGCUCCGUGCUCGCGGUGCUGGCCGAAGACGGGGCUCGGGGAAGAGCUCGCGGUUGUGCGUCGUGACGCGGCCACGGCGAGGUUGGUGUCGCAGGCGAAGGACCUCGACGUCGGGGUCGCGGGUGCGGCUCGGCGGUGCUCGGCGGCGUCGUGGCCCGGGGCGGGGUUGACGCGAGGGCGCGGAGCUCCUGAUGGGGCGCCGAGGUCCUGGCCGCGGCCGAGGCUCGUAAAGACGAGGUCGUCGCGGGGCACCGAGGCGGCUCGGCAGUGCUGUGGCGCCCGCGCGGCCAGCCGUGGUCGAAGCUCGACGCGGCGAGGGCAGCGUCGCGGCUGGCCACGGCUCGGCGAAGGUGGCUUCUGGGCGUCAUGUCAGCCGUCGAGGCAAGGGCGCCGUCGUCUCGGGCUCUCGGUGGCGCAGUGGGUGCUCGUCGCGGACAACUCAAGCGCCUGCGUCCCGGUGCGGCCGUGGCAUCCGCGUGGCCGUCCGCGGUCGCGAGUCCGCACGACGCCGCGGUCGCGGAGGACGCCGGGGCCUCGGUGGCGUCCAGGCUUGACGUGAAGGCGUUGUCGCGGCGCCGGUCAUGGAGGACAAGGCGGAGGGCGGCGGCGCUGGGUGGAGGGAACAGAGGACUGCGGCGGCGCCACUAGGGAAGAGCUCGAGGGCGUGGCGGCGGCUGGGCUCUUUAUAGGCGUCGAGGCUAGGGCUUCAGAGUGGAGGCGUUCAUCCUCGGCGUCCGUGUCCGCAGCGGGACACGCGGCGGGAAUCCUGGGCUGGCGCGGACAGGGACAGGAGGGGCGCUGGCGCUCGUGGCCUUUCCACCGAGCGGUGGCGGUGGCGGCUCUACCUGGGAGCGGCGCGGUUCCUAGGGUUGGGGAGAAGGGGGCGCUGCCUCCCUCAUGGGCCACGGCCUGGGCCUUGGCGACUUGGGCCGUAGGUGAAGGGGGACGAGUGAGCUGGGGGCAAGACGCGCUGGCGGGCCGUGGUGCUGCGUCGCUGGGCCUUGCGCGCGAAAGGGCCAAGCAUGGAGGAGGGAGGGCGCUGGUCGCGUGGGCCAAAGGGAGAAAAGAAAAGAAAAAAAAGGGUAGGAGGGGAGUAGGAAAUGGAUUUUGGCCCGAAAGAGAAGGAUUUUCCAUUUACGAACUUGACUCAAGGGCUUUGAGAGAGAAAUUUAAAAAGGGGAAAGAAUCGAGGGGGAUUCGAGAGAGAACUCAAAAAGAGAUUAAGAUGAGUUGCCAUGAAUUCAAGAUGGAUUUAGCGGUAGGGAUUUAGAGAGGAGGUCGACAAGAGAAAAGGUUUGAGAAGGGAAUUUCGGGGAGAGUUCGGAAAGAAUUCAAGGAAGUUGAGAAGGGAUUCGCUUCGCCUUUGAGAUAGGCUCAAAGAAAAUUUGAGAAGACUUCGCUAGGGAUUUAUGCACUCCAAAAGAAACUCAAAACCCUAAACAAGACCCAACUUAAGACGACUCACGAACAAAAUCACUCGCCUACAAACAAAUCUACAUGUAUGCCACGAUUUGUUAGCGGGUUAGGAUCGAGUUAGACCUGAAAACUAUAUGCUUCACACGGUUACAUGAAAAAUUUUAAAAAGCUCGUAUUUUUGGUUUUUUUUUUUGUAAAAAUCCGGGAUGUUACAGUCCACCCACCUUACAGGAAUCUCGUCCCCGAGAUUUAGGCGUUGCUCGGUCGGUGAAGAGACGAGGGUGUCGUUCUCAAAGCCUUUCUUACUUCUGAGUUGUUUCACUUUCAAUGUGAUCGCUCCACAAACUUUUUCCAAAAUGGGAGUGACUCUUGUUCCAAGUGUAUGCAAGGCUCACUUGCAGUCGUUGGGCAUCCAAAUUUUCACAUCAGGGCGAUGGGUGUCCAAGAAUCGCACGGGGUUGAUGAACAUCUGGCUCUCAAAGAGUGCAUGGCAGGCUUAAACGUAGCUAGGGUUGUUGGCUUUCAAUAGCUGUUUUUCGUGCAUCACUCUUUGCAAAAAGCUUUUGAAAGGAAUGUUUUUCGGAAAAACAGGUUUCAUAAAUGGAGUGAAAGCGAUUUUACAAAGUCAAAUGGAUUUUAAAGAGAGCUCAAACUGAAAAUAGCUUAUGGAAAGGGUUGAAAUCAGCGCAAAUUUUGAAAACCAAGUUUAUUUAUUUUAUUAUAAUUAUUAUUUUAAGAUUUUUGAUGUAAAAGAUUUCAAAUCAAGAGACUUUGAAACUCUUUUAGUUUUCUAGAUGAGGCGUUGCUCUCUUUUAUUUGAACUAAACAAACUAGUUUUGAAAAUGAUUAGAAAUCAUUUCUCUCUUUUGAAAGAUAAAGCUUUAACAACAAUAACAUUUUCUUUCAAAACUUGUAAGUUCAUUUUGUUUUUGCUAAUUUUUUUUUUGGAAGGCCGCAAACAAAAUUCUUUUCGCAAUGGUUUUUGUUUAAUAAAACACUGAAAAUUCCUUUUUCUUUUAGGACAAGGUGGAUUUUUAAAAGGAAUUUGGCUCUCGAGAUAAAAUCAAAGGUCUUUACAACAAAACUGAGCCAAAGAUCUUUGAUCUAAAAACCAUUUUGUUGAUGAAAAAGCAAGACUUUUGUUUUUCAGAAGAUGGUUGGUAACACCUUUUGAAAGAUAACUUAUUUUUAAAUAGUUUCAUAAAUAGAGUUUGGAUAAAAUUGAGUUGAGAAAAGGGUUAAAAUGGCUCUCUUUGUGAAAAUGAAAGAUAUUAAGAGAGUUUUGAAACACUUUUCCUUUUGAAACAAGGAUGCUUUUGUUAGAGAGGGGACAUUUUAACCAAAAGGAGAGAAAAUUUUGAAGACAGGUUCAUUUUGGAAGCCAAAAACAGUUUUGAAAUAGGCGAGCAUCACAUGAUGCAACAGCUUUACCUAACUUUUAACUUUGUUAGUCAGGGCCACCUAUCUAGUCUCGGGACGGUCUUAGGUUUAGCCGACUAGGUUGGACGGAAUCCAGAGUUUUUCUCGCAUAAAACAGGUUCUAUGACUUACACCCAGACAACAAGAAGCAGAAGAAACGCAACAACAUAAGAUCCAAGCACUCAAACAGCAUUACAACUCCUAAUGCAUAGUGUUGACUUGAGGCGACUCACAGACCUUCAAAGUCUCACACAACUAUCGAUCUAGCGUGGGCGGGUAUGGGAAAAGAUUCCAACGGUCAACUUUAUGAAACAGGGAGGUCAGUUAGCAGCAGAAUUCAAGGCGGAGGGGGGAAAACAAGUGUUAGCAUCUAUAACUCUACAAAAGAUAGAAUGUUUGGCUUCUAAACUAGUGUUUGGUCCUAAAGGUCUCGUCCUAGGGUCAAGUAUGGCUCUGAUACCAACUGAAACGACCUAGAUUUUUCCACAAAGGGGAAAAAUCCUCAGAUUCGAAUUAUAAUGUGAUAAUUCAGAUAUUGAGCCAUCACAUUAUCAUAUAUCAGCUGUUAUCGCAGUCAUACAUCGUGAAAAAGAAGAUUACAUCACAUUUACUUUACAACUCUUAGUUAACAAGCCUAUUACAUCGUUUUACUAGCGGAAACACACACGAAUCUUUUUCAGAGUCGAUGUAGCGCGUCAGCAGUGAGGGCUCCUCCUUCACGGGCAAUCAUCAGAGUCGGCGUAGUUUAUCAGCGGGCGUAGCCUUCAUCUCCGAACCAAACUUGAGCGCAGGAACGAGACCACCUAAUCCUUCUAUUCUCCGUAGUUAUCAUCAUAGACCACAUCCAAAACCUGCUAAACAAUUUUCAGUACGAUUUGUACUGGCCACUGGCUCCCACCCUAUGCUUUUGCUUAAGCUUUGUGGUAAGUGGAAUGCAAAGGGUAGAUCAAGAGGCCUAUAUAUAUGGCUGUAGUCUUUCCUAUGCAAGUUCAUCAAUAUUUAAUAAUAAUAUUUCAUCAAGUUUUAUUCCAUCUCAUCCACACAUCCAUCCAUCCAUCCCAUCACACACAUCUCACCACACUCUCACUCUCUAGGCGGCAAGUACGACUCCCGCUCGUGCCUUGCCUCAACGGCCAACGCCGGAUCCAACACAAACCCAGGGGAAGGUAGAAAGGACUCCUCUCACUAGUCAAGCGAAGCGGAACAUAGGAAAGGUCCAUAGCCGAGAAGACGGCAUAUGUAUCGAUCGAUCAACCAAACUCUGCAGAGGUUUACACUAACCACAAGAUCACCAUCAUCGACGAACCGGCUCGUCUAGGCUGAUACCGGGCUGCCUUCCAACUAAAUACGAUGCCACCCUACCACUCAGGACUGGGGCCAUACCGGAGUACCACCGGCAUGCUGAGACUGUGAGGCGUAGUACCGGGCCCCCAAGGGUCACUACGCUGUCUUAGGAGGGUGUGGGUCCUCAUGCCCGUACCUCCCUACACUAUCCGCUAUCAACCUAGUAGUAGUGGCACCGCACUAGCUGGUCGUACAUCCGUCCCGCACCAUAAUAAGGCGAGUGGCGUGUAAGGCUUCCUACGAACCGGUUCUCAGAACAUCUCAGUCCUUAGGGUAACCGAACAGGACAUCUUCACGAGGGGCCAGCCGAUGCCCCUCUCGACGGGACACCCGGCUACCCCGUGCUAAACAGCACCUCCCAUCCCGGUGCUUCGUCCCACGAAGACACUCCACUCCGGGACCUCUCCCUGUCACAUGUACCCGCCACAGGUAUCUCUCAUGGAGAACGCCCAGGUAGCGUUCCCCGGCAAGACUUGUCCCAAGACUCGUCGUAAAUCCUGCUCGGUCGACUCAACCCUCACCACACACCCAAGACACACGCCAAGAUCUCCCCAUAUCCAUUAUCCAUUUCUUAACCAGUUAUCGGCACACGUGCCUUAUCCACUCACAUCCAAUCCUCCACAAUGCAUCACAUCACAGAUAUAAUGCGUAGUAGAAGCAGUAGCAAGUAGUAUGCAAGCAUCUAACCUAACAGCGGGUGUGCGAGGGUUAUAGGUUGCAACAAGGCAAUGGCUCACAAGCAUUUCUACCAUGCAACCUAUCAUAGUUCAUUUGCAUAAAAGUAAAGCACUAGCAUCUAUAAUAUUGCAUGUCUAAUAGGAUUCUACGAGGUUGGGUGGGACGUGGCACCUGUCGAGUGACAUUUCCAGGAUCCUCAGUUCACUUGUAGUUGUACUCAUCCAAGGUCUUUCUCCUAUCUGCAUGUCCUUCCUUCGACUGGUUCCGAUUCGAUCAUCGCUAACCGAAGCAACUACCUCGUAAACGACAAUCAAGGCGAAACAAUCAAACCACUAGACCUAGAAAGAUCAUGAUAAGAGGCGACAAAACACUGAAGAACAACUACACUAAAAGAGCACCGAAAGGAAAACAACUUAGCCCUCUCGGCGGAUGUCCGAUCCCUGGGCUAAAAGAAACGGGAAUGGUUGUUCACUAAGUACAAGCCAGAGUCUUAGCCUAGCCGGUACUUCCCGGGUUAACUGAGUCAACCUGUACGGCUUUAUUAAAUGGCUUAGACUCUAACUCAUUCUAAGCAAACACCACAACUUACAGUCUUUCGAUCCAAGUGUCAUAGAGAUCGACAGGAAUCGAAAAGGCUAUGAGCACGGGAAGUUCCGGUCUCUCUCAAUCCAUACGCCAUUGUAGUUGGCGAGAGCCAAGAGAGGGUGGAACAAGGAGAGAAGAAAAAGGGAAGUGGUCUACUCCUUCCAAUCCACUUGCCAUGGUAAUAGACGGGGUAAUCAGAAAGAGUGACAUACAAGAACACGAGUGCUCAAACUACUUGUAGGGUACCACAACCUAGGUACACUGAAUGCACUAAGACAUCCCUAGGGUUCUUAGCAGUGCGGUUGUCACCACGAGAACCAAAGAAAUGCUACGGUCGAAUAGGUACAAGCAUACAAGAGUUUAAACACAAAGAACCAAAAAGGCGGGAAAAGACACGGGUUUCACUUCCUAUUGAUCCACUUGCCAUAGCAACAGCGGGAAUCGUAGAAAUGGAAUCAAAACACCAAACAAACAAAAGGGCUCAAUCCACAUAUUACUGGAUCUACAGGGAUUGAGAACAAGAGAGAAGAGGAAUGGAGUCCAUACUGUUUCGACCAACUCAUCAUGGAAUGAACGACGGUUGGAUGAAAGAGAUACGACCCCACGAUCCAACCCUACUCGUAGGGUACCACGACUGUGCAUCUAAUCAGCACACGGCUAUUCCUAAGGCCCGUAGCGAUGCGGUUGUCACCGCUAGGUCCGAGGGAAUGCUAUAGUCGAAGUGGUGCAAGCAUACGAGGUGGUUAGGAUAAACACGCGAGAAAUGGGGUAAAGCCGGAUGGUCAUGGCAAGGUGGACUUGCGACCAUUAGCUUCACCCAACGAGUUGGCUUCUGACUGUUCUACAAGGGUUGCUCCUAAUCUGUAUCCCACUAGACUAGAUCACAGAGAACUCGAAGGUGCGGGUAAGAACCGCGUCGUUAUGAAUAUCGAGUCCGCAAAGAUCAAACCCCAGGGACGAGGAUAGGAGCUAACAAGCGUAGCGUGACGAAGUCAACUAAACACGGGGAGACGAGUUACGCUCGGCAUCGCGAUCACGGCGGGACGAACCCACGAUCGAAAUGAUCAAACGCACUACCACUUCCCCGACCGGCUCGAAGGCUCAGUCCUCAGGCAAAUAACAAAAGAAAGAACGACGACAACCCGAGAAGGGAUAUGCUUGGCACUACGACCAUGGCGAGACAACUCGCGAUCGCAACAUUCAAACACAUCACUCUCUCAACCGGCUCGAAGGCACGGUUCACAACCAACCAACCACAUGACACAAGAACCAACGCACAAAGAACCACAAUGCCGCGACCAACACAAAGACAAAGUAGAGUAGCACAUUUCCAUAGCGACCAACAGAGAUAGAUAAACGGAUAGAUAAACAGACCGGCACGAAGGCACGGCACAGGCAUAGAAUAAAUAAUUCAUGUAUCGACAAGUAUAGAUAGAUGGAUAAAGAUGAAUCAUAUAGCAAGUGUAUGAAAGCAGAAUAGGGUUUUUGUUGGCAUCGGGAAUGACGCCAACUAGGGUUCGGGGCUCGACCUUGGAGCCGAUGGGCUGUGGUAGCAGCUGUUGUUCUUCGGAUGCAGCGAAGUGGUGGUCAUGCUUGGUCGCGCGGCUUCGUCAUUGGCCGGUGCUCGGCAAGGUGUUGCAAAGGCGAUCAGCGGUGCUGCGAGGUUCCACUCAUGGUAGCUCUAGCGUUGCGGCUUCCAUGGGAAGGUGCAGCAGGUCCGAGGCCUCCCUGUGACAGUGGUUGAACACGGCACCCAGGCCGACUGUUAGCCAAGAACCACGGUAUGGUCUUCAGAACGGAAAGAAAGGUAUGGCCUUGGCUUGAGAGCUCACCGAUGACAGAGAAGGGCUUGGCGAGGACGAGGCGAGCACGGCACUGACGAGGGGAACUGGUGGGGGCGCUGCUCGACGUCGUGGCCGCAGGGGUGGUGCUUGGCGCUCGGGUUCGCGGUCACCACGGGGUUGCUGGGUCACGACCAGCGCUGCGGACGACGGUGUCGUGGAGGAGGGCUCGGAGCAGAACUCGGUGAGGACGCAGCGUCGCGGGGUCGGGGCUCCUGCUCGGCGAGGGCGCGGAGAUCCUACUCGACGUCGAGGUAGAGGCGCGGCUUGACGGCGGCGGGUGCGCGGGGUGGUGCCGAGGACGAGGCGUGUCGCGGACACGGCGUCGCGACGGCGGUGCGCGGGGACAGGGCUCGGCGCGGCGGGGCGUCCGCGCGGCCGGCCAGGUCGGAGACGCGGACACGGAGAGGCUCCGUGCUCGCGGUGCUGGCCGAAGACGGGGCUCGGGGAAGAGCUCGCGGUUGUGCGUCGUGACGCGGCCACGGCGAGGUUGGUGUCGCAGCCUCGGCCCUUGGCGAAGGACCUCGACGUCGGGGUCGCGGGUGCGGCUCGGCGGUGCUCGGCGGCGUCGUGGCCCGGGGCGGGGUUGACGCGAGGGCGCGGAGCUCCUGAUGGGGCGCCGAGGUCCUGGCCGCGGCCGAGGCUCGUAAAGACGAGGUCGUCGCGGGGCACCGAGGCGGCUCGGCAGUGCUGUGGCGCCCGCGCGGCCAGCCGUGGUCGAAGCUCGACGCGGCGAGGGCAGCGUCGCGGCUGGCCACGGCUCGGCGAAGGUGGCUUCUGGGCGUCAUGUCAGCCGUCGAGGCAAGGGCGCCGUCGUCUCGGGCUCUCGGUGGCGCAGUGGGUGCUUGUCGCGGACAACUCAAGCGCCUGCGUCCCGGUGCGGCCGUGGCAUCCGCGUGGCCGUCCGCGGUCGCGAGUCCGCACGACGCCGCGGUCGCGGAGGACGCCGGGGCCUCGGUGGCGUCCAGGCUUGACGUGAAGGCGUUGUCGCGGCGCCGGUCAUGGAGGACAAGGCGGAGGGCGGUGGCGCUGGGUGGAGGGAACAGAGGACUGCGGCGGCGCCACUAGGGAAGAGCUCGAGGGCGUGGCGGCGGCUGGGCUCUUUAUAGGCGUCGAGGCUAGGGCUUCAGAGUGGAGGCGUUCAUCCUCGGCGUCCGUGUCCGCAGCGGGACACGCGGCGGGAAUCCUGGGCUGGCGCGGACAGGGACAGGAGGGGCGCUGGCGCUCGUGGCCUUUCCACCGAGCGGCGGCGGUGGCGGCUCUACCUGGGAGCGGCGCGGUUCCUAGGGUUGGGGAGAAGGGGGCGCUGCCUCCCUCAUGGGCCACGGCCUGGGCCUUGGCGACUUGGGCCGUAGGUGAAGGGGGACGAGUGAGCUGGGGGCAAGACGCGCUGGCGGGCCGUGGUGCUGCGUCGCUGGGCCUUGCGCGCGAAAGGGCCAAGCAUGGAGGAGGGAGGGCGCUGGUCGCGUGGGCCAAAGGGAGAAAAGAAAAGAAAAAAAAAGGGUAGGAGGGGAGUAGGAAAUGGAUUUUGGCCCGAAAGAGAAGGAUUUUCCAUUUACGAACUUGACUCAAGGGCUUUGAGAGAGAAAUUUAAAAAGGGGAAAGAAUCGAGGGGGAUUCGAGAGAGAACUCGAAAAGAGAUUAAGAUGAGUUGCCAUGAAUUCAAGAUGGAUUUAGCGGUAGGGAUUUAGAGAGGAGGUCGACAAGAGAAAAGGUUUGAGAAGGGAAUUUCGGGGAGAGUUCGGAAAGAAUUCAAGGAAGUUGAGAAGGGAUUCGCUUCGCCUUUGAGAUAGGCUCAAAGAAAAUUUGAGAAGACUUCGCUAGGGAUUUAUGCACUCCAAAAGAAACUCAAAACCCUAAACAAGACCCAACUUAAGACGACUCACGAACAAAAUCACUCGCCUACAAACAAAUCUACAUGUAUGCCACGAUUUGUUAGCGGGUUAGGAUCGAGUUAGACCUGAAAACUAUAUGCUUCACACGGUUACAUGAAAAAUUUUAAAAAGCUCGUAUUUUUGGUUUUUUUUUUGUAAAAAUCCGGGAUGUUACACUACCCGUCCUGCUAACAAGAUGUGGGCUGCAAAGGUAACUCGGAAAUGUCACGUUCCUCGCUACUAUCACGGUCCAGCUAGUCAGGGGAUAUCUAUGAGUACCCUAGCCCAAACACCACGUUUACGCUAGCAGUGAUUACUCUAAUACUCAACCGGAAGAGAUUAAAGUAAACUCAUAAACCAAAGAACAAUAAAACAAGAACUUACUAGAAUUAGAAGUCGAAUUACUGAAGAAUCCUAGGAGCAAGCUUCGGGUUAGGAGAACUUGAUCCCGAAGGUACAACCUCGGAGUAGACACCGACAGGUCGGGCUUCCUCCGAUCUACACCUCCACUCUAUCUCUCUCAAUCUAGUAGAAACUAGAAGAUCUAAUUCUACUCACAUUGGAUGCUAAGCCUAAAAGAAAUUUUAUUUAGAGGAUAGGUAUUCCUUCGAGGGCACCUCUCAACUCUAUGAUGAACUUGUCUCCUCCAGGGGCCAGGGGGUCUGGUUUUAUAGUCCCCUCAAGUGAACGUGAGCUAUUGGAUCAAACCGACAUUGAUUGGACGGUUAUCCUUGAUCCUUUAGGUGGGUGGAGCUUGGUCCGCAAAGUUGGACGUGUUUUACUACAACUCCUGGGCGGGCGCCCAUGGGGGGUGGGUGGGCGCCCUGCCCCCAGGCCCGUUCGGCCUCCGCUUCCUUUCCGUGGCUUCUGGAGUCUUCUAGAUGUAAGAUAAUUGCGCGGCACGUUAAUAUCUCUAUGUAAACCCGACAUGUGGGCCUUUCUUCCAUAUUUCCUCAUAACCCCCUACAGAAAUAGACAAACACCAAAACUCGUGGAAUUCUAUCAGAUAAAACCCUAAGUCUAGGUGUUGGUUGCAUUUGGAUCCUUUUCUUUUUUUAUUUGAUGAUUAUAUUUGGUACUUAAGGACCGUCAACAACUCCCCCAAGCUUACCUCUUGCUCGUCCCUGAGCAAGAAUGAACUCAGGAGUUUCUAUAGUGGUUUCAUGCGUUAAAAGUAAGAUCUCAUCUCUGAGUUAGGGUAAACUGUUAAGACUUAAAACUUACUCAUUUUACCUUUCACCAUGGGGCUUGUAACCGUCACUUGUGUCUUGAGCAGUUAAAAGAUAGAACGGUCAAGUUAAGCGCCAUGUCUCGCAUUCUUGAUCAGCUAUAGUUCUGGAGUUUUUGCAGAUUUUCAAAUAAAAGUCAGAGAUUCCUUGUAUGACUCUCUCAGAUCUCUCUUUUGUGGUAUUUCUGGAUCCUUUCCAAGGCAGUAAUGGUAUAUGCCUUCUCUCAAAGUAUGUGGUAUUUUUGGUAUGAGGCAUAGUGAUAUUGCCUUCUCUCUCACCCUACUCUAAUAAGGUUUUGAUAUCUGGAGCUCAUAGGUGGGAGACAGAUAAUACAUACUUACAAGACAUUUAUUGCAUAGUCAAACCAUGAAUCCAGAAGAACAAGUCAAUAAGUCAAAUCAAGAUGUGCAUGUGUGGCGAGUGAAUGGUGUAUGGUGAUGAUGGUGAUAACAAUGGUGAAAGUCUAAUUCUACUUUUGCUCUUUUGAGGGGAUACAUACCUUUCUUGCACUUUGAAGCUUUUUGAGGAGAAUGAGAUGCUCUAAAUUUUGUUUUUCUUUCAUCUCAGGUGGGUAUCUUGUACCCCUAAUUCUACUGUCGGACACUUGUCCAUUUUUACCUCUCGUCUCACUCUUUCUUUUCUUCGAGGUUCCGGGCACUUGCCCCUUUUUAUUUCCUCGUAUUUUUUCCUCUCUUUUUUAGAGCACUCAUCUCCUGAAAUAAUAUAGCAAGUGGUAGUAACCAAGAUAACUCGAGCAUUUAUUCCACAGGGAAUAACAGGGAUAGGAUAAUAUUUUUGGCUAUUCUCUCCCGGAUUAGGAGUAGAAUACUUUUGGGUGAAUCUGGAGAUGGAAAUGAGUGGAUGUAUGUGGAUGCGUACUUCCAGAGUAGAAGCAGCAUGUGUGAGUGAAUGUGCAAGUGAAUCUUGAUUUUAACCGCAUGACAAGCUCCUAAGGGUCUACACAGCUUGACCACACUCAAUGCUCAUAAGCAGUAAAAAGUAAAUGUGUGGCUCAAAGUCUAGCAAGCAUGUGUAUGUGGCUGUGGUAGGAUUUUAAACUCUUAUCAUACAGGAACUCAUCAUGCAACAUUUUAAAUAUUUUCAAAGAUAAAUUUCUCCAGAAUUCUAGCAUCUCUAGGAACAGAUAAAUAGCAGCUCAACCUUCCCAUAUCGUAUCCGUUAACGACUUAGACUUUAGAUCAAGUACUCUUCCCACAAGUUCAGGUUUAGAGCAAAUCUUAAUUCAUAACAGUCAUGCCUAAACUUGAGAGAGAUUUCAAUUUUAUGAACUAGUCAUGGCAGAGCAACUAUUCAUCAUUUCCAAGUGAGAGCUUAUCAUAAGGGUUCAUAGCAAACUUUAUUUAUUUAGCAAACUAAGCAAGGAUAUAUAUAUAAAAGCACAAAAUCUUUAUUUGGGUUUUUUAUGACUAUGCAUCUUUUUAUUAUUUGAGUAAAGUAUAAAUGCGAAUAGAAAUACUUAGCUGGAUAAAUGGGGGUGCUCUCCCCCAAGCUGGAUUUUGACGUAAUUUCUUCUAAUGUAGCUAGCAGGUGGUGGAGGUGUAUUUGAAAGUUGGCAGCACCCUGACAGCGAUUAGGAUGUCCUCCGUCUACUAGUCUUCUUUGAUCCUCGAAUUCUGUGGAGCUCAAAUAGACAACAAAGCUCUUGGCAAGGCGUUUGGUAUUUUUAAGUCCUCCGAGGGACUCUCUGUUUUCUCAGUCGUCCUAGGAUUCGCUGGAUGGCGUAGUCGGUGGUUCCGGCAGCGCCUCCUCUUCGUGUAUAACUAUCUUCUCUCUCCACAUCUGACUCGGUGCUACGGUCUCCUCAGGAUAGUUCUGUUCAAGCUGUAUGUCUUCCGACCUUAUCACUUCUCCUUCGUAGUCUACCCAUCCGUCCUUGAUGAUUUGCCUCCUCUAGUUUCGGUUGCGUCGCCUUCUUCUUGUCUGACAUGCUUAGAGUCUUCAACUAAAUAGUUAGGGUCAAUAAAAUAGCGGCAUACCUUCUCAGAGGGGAAGUGCAUGUGGACUUCUCCGGUUCCAAUGUAGAUGAUGGCUUUGAUAGUGUUGAGGAACGGUCUUCCAAGGAUGGUGGGUGGAUCUUACUCGUCUUCUCCCAUGUCAAUGACCUAAAAAUCAUCUGGAGCAGAAUGUAUCUUGGUUGUAGGAGCAUGGUUCCAUGCAGGACCUGAUAAGUGACUACGGCCAUUAUGUUGUCGUCAGAUCCGGUGUCGUAGAGUGUCUUCUGAAAAGAGUAUCCACUGAUUGUGCACUCGAUGCUUGGAACACCAGGGUCGUCCUUCUUGAUGAGGAAAGGCGACUUGAGUCGACGAUCUUGACCUCCUCCGACAAGGAUCCAAUGUUUUAAGUCUCCUAGACAAGACUUCUCACCGUCUUUAUCCUUUAGGUGCAUGUUGGGUAUUUUAAACGCAAACAGAAAAAUCCGCAAGCGCACGGAUACCGAUGUAGCCUUCACCCGGGAGUAUUCCAGAGUAUCGAUUUUCCACAGAGAACGUGAGUGUACUAAUUAAGAUCCAAAAUCGCCCAAGGAUAACUAUAUAAUUUUUUUUGGUGGGAAGAGAGGAAGUUUCCUGAGAGUUCUCUAGUUGAUCUAAGAAUCAAGAAUUACUUUAAGAUUAUCUAUAUCGAGACAUCAGAGCACUAACCACAGAAAGAGAUGAGAAGGGGGCUAGGAAGGUCUGACUACGGUCCUACAAACAUCGAUCCGAACGUGGUGGAAUACGUCGACCGUUAGGGCUGUCACUACCCUAAGGCUACCACAACAAUCCGUAGGAUUGGGUGCAAUUCCAGGUAAUCGCAAGACUAAACACCACGUCUAAUCUAUUAAUUACUACUCUAGCGUUAUAAAGCCUAGAGCACUUGAUGCAAGCGGGAAUCCAAUAAAUAACUUGAAUGUAAAUAAAAGUAAUUAGAGAACUCAGGAGUUAUGAAUUGAAGAACCUGGAGAACGAUGAAGAACGAACCAGAUGCUGCAAAAGUAUAAUGUUGAGGAAGAUCCGACAGAUCCGGCUCCUCCUCCGCUCUCCUCUUCUCUCUCCCUAUUUUCUAGAUUACAACUAGAACUAACUAGAACUAGAACUAGAGGAACUAGAACUAGAACUAGAUGAACUAGAACUAGAUCUAGAUGAACUAGAGGUAGAACUAGAAGAACUAGAGGGAUCCUCUCUACUUAGAUGAAGAAUUGAAACCCUAACUUUGAUUCUGUAGAAGAGGUAUGAUCUCCAGGGGGCCAGGGGGUCUGGUUUUAUAGUCCCUUCAAGUGAAUCUGGGCCGUCGGAUCAAACCGACAUUGAUCGUGUGGUUUUCCUUGAAGUAUUAGGUCGGUGGAGCACGAUCCCCGAGCUUCAUCCUGAUUGGUGGAAAGAGGUGGGCGGGCGCCCUCAGGACUAGGGCGGGCGCCCAGUGCCUGAGCCCUCUCGGCCUCCGCUUCGGUCCCGUGGCUUCUGGAGUCUUCUAGAUGGUAGAUAAUUGUGCGGCACAUUAAUAUCUCUAUGUAAACCCGACAUGUGGGCCUUUCUUCCGUAUUUCCUGAUAACCCCCUGCAUAAAUAGACAAACACCAAAACUCGUGGAAUUCUGUCAGAUAAAACCCUAAGUCUGGGUGUUGGUUGCAUUUGGAUCCUUUUCUAUGAUUAAUUGAUGGUUAAAUGUGAGCAUUAAGGACCGUCAACAGUGCAUCAUUUGAUUAGGUGUGGACCUUGACAUCUGCACCUCUUGAUACGGUGUCACCCAUGUUCUUUGUUUGUUCAGCAGUUCAAAGUGCGGUGUUGGCAAUAUCCUACUCAGUGUGUUUGUGCUCGUAGAUUCAAGUCCUUCACUUGGUGGAAUCUGGGAGUUGUAAAACUCCUUCAGGUUUUGCUCGAAGUGCACCUACUCAUAGAGACAAGGCAGAGAUCAAGUGCAUAGGCCCUGUUGGUGGAAAACACCAACAGAACCAAAAGUGUAUUUGUUCUUCUCUAACCUUAAACAUAGUGAGCAAGACAAAGUUGAUGGAUCAUGAGUGUAGCAUUUGUCAGAUCAGAUGGCUCAACCUAAUGGAAAGAUAAUCUAUCUAUAUUUAUGUUUUGUUUAUAUCUUCCAAAGAUUGAAUGUGCAACAUUUUAGCUUACUAGAAACAAAGAUUAAAGGACUUAACAUGCUGAAUCAGUUGGGUUGGUUAAUUUGGAGUUAUAAAUCAUACAUGUUUGUCUCUUUAUUUUAUGUGAAUGUCAGAACCAAGGAGAAACUUAUAAAAGCGAUAGUCAAGUACCUUAAGGUGUUACCUUACUUGAAGAGUGAUGGUAUAGUAUCACCUUGUGGAAGCUUUCCUUUCUUAGCGGUUGUGCAUCGUGUUUGUGGCACUCUUUAUCUUGUUCCAUGGAUCAUCUCUCUAUGAUGAAUGAGCUAUGUCCUUCUUGUGCAAAUUGUUAAACUUCAUGUGUCUCCUUUAUCUCCAAUGAGUGUUUGUAUCUCAGGACUUCCCAGGUUGAUAUUGAAAGUUUUUCUGCAGGGGUUAGUCCGACAAAAUAUACCAAUGCCUACUCAAGCAGUUUUUAGUUCAGUAACCAAAUUAGACUCCAUGUCUAAUCAGAUUAAGGAAGGCUGUUUAACCUAAGCACCACGCUUAAUUUAAAAGCCAAUAGAAGUAUGUACAGUACUUCCAAACUAACACUUACUAAGAUAAACAUAGGUAGUAUGAUGGCUUUUAUAGAGUUCUACUCAAGCGGAGAUGAAGUAGUGUGAUUAGUAUUUAACAAAUUGAGCAUGUCUCAAAGGUAAGGACAACCAACAUAGCAACAUGGCAAAUGAUGUUUUUAUGUAAAGUACUCCCCCAAGCUUGAAUUUUGCAAAAUUCAAGAUUGGAUGAAUUUAAUUCAAUGUUGCAUGAUGAUUGGUUGGACAUACCUUGUGCUUGUCAUUCCUCGGAUCUUCUUGCUCCAAUCCUGGAAAGGUUAGUGACAAGAAUACCUGAAGGAAUAUUUCUAUAAUUAUCUUUAUAUGCUCAAUACACAAGGCAAUGUUGCAAAUAAUUAGAAGUUCAUGUCACAAUCUGAUAGGUGCUUGUUUUAGGACAGUAAGCUUGUCCUUGGGAAACCAUCAAUCAACUCAACGAGAUCUGCAAUAUUUAUUGUAGACAUAUGUAUCGACAACCGCUCUUUUAAAGUUUUUAUAAAUAGAAAGGAAGAGGGGGUUGGAGAUCUCAAAUGUGGUGAUAGCACAUGGAUUUUUAAUGCCCUCUAGCCAUUGAUGUUGCUCUUCUCGAUCCUCCUUCUGGUCUUGGUGACUCUUAUGCAUGGGAUGUCUAGAGAGAUUCAUAGGAUCAUCGGGAGGUUCAAGAGAAAGAUCAUAGUAGAAAUUAUUAGGCUCAAGGAUGGGUUGGAUAGCCGAAUCAUGUGAUUGAAAUGUUUGGAAAUCGGCUAUUGAAACUUCCUUUCCUCGUGUGGGAGAUGAUUCCUUCUCUAUCUCUAAGAUUUUUCUAUGAAGACUAGUGCAAGAAGGAUGUCCACAAAUGAAGACAUACCUUUCUUUACUAAUAGAUAAAGAAAGAAAGACUCUACCAAUGGUUAUAUGAUUAAGACCAAUGUGAAAAUAUUGAGAAAAAACAUGGUCUUGUAGGGCUAGGUUUAAACCAGAAUUUAUAGAAAAAUUAACAGAUUCCCUAGGUGUAGCUAAAAGUUCAUUAUCUUCUUGAUUAAAAGAUAGGACCUCGGCUAUAGAAAAGGGUUGGUUUUGACCUAUUGCAAUCAACUCCGGACACAGAUCAUAAUUAGGGGCAGGACUUGUUGACUCCCAUGGUCUAUGGCUGGUCUCCGAAGGUGCAAAGAAUUUAAUAAUAGGUAUCGAAUUUGAGUUAUCCAUAAAGAUAUAAAUAAGAAGAUAAAAGAAUAAAAGUAUAAAAGUAUAAUACAAGAUAAUAGCAAGACUCAAAGUUAUCUCAGCAAACCGUAUUUCUCCCGGCAACGGUGCCACAAAUGCUUGUUGAUAUUUGGUAACGCAAUAAGGAAAUGAUCCGCAAGCGCACGGAUAUCGGUGAGCAUUUCACCCAGGAGGUUAUCCAGAGUAUCGUAUUUAUAUUUUUACCACUGGGAGAAAGGGUGCAUCUGACUAACCAAAUCUAUUGCUACUAUCCCUUUAGGCUACAAAGAAUGUUUCUCGAUGUGAGUGAUGUAUAGAGAAGAUUGCAACCGUAGUCUUGUUCUAACCUUGGUAAGGAUGAUCUACUGUUCUAUUGGGGAAGCUUACGGAAUCUAGACACCACAAAGGAUGUUCGACCCGCACCUAUAAACCUACCCGUCCUGCUAACGAGAUGUGGGCUGCAAAGGUAACUCGGAAAUGUCACGUUCCUCGCUACUACCACGGUCCAGCUAGUCAGGGGAUAUCUAUGAGUACCCUAGCCCAAACAUCACGUUUACACUAGCAAUGAUUACUCUAAUACUCAACCGGAAGAGAUUAAAGUAAAAUCAUAAACCAAAGAACAAUAAAACAAGAACUUACUAGAAUUAGAAGUCGAAUUACUAAAGAAUCCUAGGAGCAAGCUUCGGGUUAGGAGAACUUGAUCCCGAAGGUACAACCUCGGAGUAGACACCGAUAGGCCGGGCUUCCUCCGAUCUACACCUCCACUCUAUCUCUCUCAAUCUAGUAGAAACUAGAAGAUCUAAUUCUACUCACAUUGGAUGCUAAGCCUAAAAGAAAUUUUAUUUAGAGGAGAGGUAUUCCUUCGAGGGCACCUCUCAAUUCUAUGAUGAACUUGUCUCCUCCAGGGGCCACGGGGUCUGGUUUUAUAGUCCCCUCAAGUGAACGUGAGUCAUUGGAUCAAACCGACAUUGAUUGGACGGUUAUCCUUGAUCCUUUAGGUCGGUGGAGCUUGGUCCGCAAAGUUGGACGUGUUUGACUACAACUCCUGGGCGGGCGCCCAAGGGGGGUGGGCGGGCGCCCUGCCCCCGAGCCCGUUUGGCCUCCGCUUUCUUCCCAUGGCUUCUGGAGUCUUCUAGAUGUAAGAUAAUUGCGCGGCACGUUAAUAUCUCUAUGUAAACCUGACGUGUGGGCCUUUCUUCCAUAUUUCCUGAUAACCCCCUACAGAAAUAGACAAACAUCAAAACUCAUGGAGUUCUGUCAGAUAAAACCCUAAGUCUAGUGUUGGUUGCAUUUGGAUCCUUUUCUUUAUUUAUUUGAUGAUUAUAUUUGGUACUUAAGGACCGUCAAUAGGCGUGUUCUCAAGUUCCGUGUGAGCACCUCUUGGCCGUGACAUCCGGGCGCAUCGCUGUUGUCGGGAUCAAAGUGUUCGAGUUACCACCUUUGUCGAUUGUAAGGUCAAAUCGGCUGGCACGCCUUAACGUUUGAAUCGGGUAUUAGCCCUUUGUGUUUGCAGAUCAGCUUUUGCAUCAACACAUCUUUUGGCAUGCCCGGUGGGACCGAGAUUCAAGAUCAAGAUCAACAUGUCGAACACCAAUUUCGACUUGGAGAACGUUAUCCCCGUGACGGAAGCCAAUCUCAGGGAUGAGCAGAAGCAAGCUAUGGCAAAAGCCAUGGAGGACUACAAGUAGCUAUGCUUGAAAUCCUUCAGUAUCAACAGGAGUGGCGAGGUGAUCCAGAAGGAAGCAUUGCCGAUGCCUCGGCAAAUCACUUUUGAGGCCAAUCCUGGUAAACUUCAAGACAUGGUUGACAGUGCUAUUAACCGUGCCUUGAUCAAUCAAUCUGGUGUGCUGUCCAACACGGUUUUCAAUGCUGUGGCUAGAACUUUCAAAGAAGGACAAGUACCACCAUCUUAUGUGGGUCCUACCUAUCAUCAGCCAGGGUCAUCAUUGGUUACUGCUCCAUCGGCUACUACAGCCGUUGCAGGUUCAGAAGCUACUUCUCCUCCAAGCACAUUAGGGAUCACUAAUGCGCAGUCUACACUGAUGACGACUAAUCCAUCAACAUCAGAUGGGCAAAUCAAACUUGCCACGGAUCUAUUGGCAUUGGCGAUAUCAGGGACUGUUCCCCCCAACUGGUGGGGUUAUGGUAAGCCCCCAGAAUUGAUGAUAAAAAGUCCUGGAACAUCCCAAGUGGCUGACGUGACAGGCAAGGCUCCUAUGGCAUCGGCACCUCCAAAUCCGCCGAUGAAUCAGAAUCCCCAGUACUCUACGACUACUACUGCAAGACCUUACACUGGGAAUUCGCAAGCACCAACAUUCUAGAUGCCUAAUGCAUCGGCAGAUCCAGUGCCGAUGCAGCAAAGGUUUAUGACGCAGCCAGGGUAUGUCAAUUCAAUGAUGAUGCCCAAUUACCAGUCAUCGGCAGGUCCUAUGCCGAUGAAUGCUAACAGUGGAUGGACUGGGCAGUUUGUCUUUCCACAGAUGCCUCAGCAGAAUCAUCAGGUUGUAGGGUUUCAACAAGGACAAAUCCAACCCGGGUUUUAGAAUCAAGGGUUGGUCAACCAGCCGAUGAAUCUUGGUCAGCAAAUUGGUGGUCAGAUGGUUAAUCCAAUGUUCCUUGCAGAUCGUGCACCUCAGAGACACGUGGAAGCUUAUCAGCAGGUGCCAGAUCCACAGCCACCUCAUCGGCAAGAUGCCGAUGCAUAUUGGGCCGAUAAGAUAGCUGAAGUAAUGAGAGACCAAUUUGGGAUAAAACCCAAAGUCAACACUUACUCUUAUUGGACACCGUAUCCUCCUGCAUAUGACUUAAUUCCACUUCCAAAUCGGUACAAGGUACCAGAUUUCACCAAGUUUUUUGGGCAGGAUGAUACAUCGACCAUGGAGCAUGUUAAUAGGUUCAUCAUCCAAUGUGGAGAAGCUGCUAAUAGAGAUGAGUUAAGGGUUCACUUGUUCUCAUCAUCUUUGUCUGCAUCGGCUUUUACUUGGUUUAUUUCGUUACCUCCCAACUCAGUAAUCACUUGGGCCGAUCUGGAGAAACAAUUCCAUAAAUACUUCUUUUCUGGAGUUCAUGAGAAGAAGAUUACCGAUUUAGUCAGGCUGAAGCAACACAAUAAUGAAUCGGUUGAAAGCUUUGUGCGGAGGUUGCGAGAGGUUAAGAAUAAGGGCUAUAGUCUAGUUCUAGAUGAUCGGCAGCUAGCCGAUUUGGCUUUCUAGGGAUUGUUGCCACAUAUCAGAGACAAGUAUGCUUCUCAAGAGUUCGAGAGUCUAAGUCAUUUAGUGCAGAGGAUUUCUGACCAAGAUAUCAAACCUUUUGAGCCCAAGAGAGCAUGGAAUAAAAAGGUGUCAUUCGUCGAUGAGGCAGCAAGCUCAGACUCUGAUGAAGAACCAGUCAUCGGCUUGGCAGAAUGGGUAAAAAAUAAGAAGCCGAUGUCUUGCCGUUUUGGGCAUAAAGAGCCAGAGAAAUUUGCAUUUGAUAUCACCAAAGCCGAUAGGAUAUUUGACUUUCUACUUCAGGAAGGGCAAAUCAAGUUGUCACCCAAUCAUGUGAUUUCAUCGGCUGAGGAAUUAAAGAAGAUGAAAUAUUGCAAGUGACACAAUGCAACGUCUCACGGCACAAAUGAGUGCAAGGUUUUCAGGGAACAGCUGCAAUCAGCUAUAGAAUCUGGGAGAAUCAAGUUUGACAAUUCUAAAGCUCAGGAGCCGAUGAAGAUCGAUCAACAUCCUUUCCCAACAAAUAUGUUGGAUGCUAAGGGGAAGACCAAGGUCUUGACAUCAGAGGCAGCUGAAAGAAACGCAUCGGUGGAUCCUCAACACCAGAUUACUACCGAUGACGCCAAAGGAAAGGGUCUAGUUCAGGAAGGAACCAGCUCAGGAAGGCCUCCCCGAUCUGGUAUUGUAAUUACUCAUAGAAGGCAUCAGGAGACUUGGCAGCAACGUGAAGAUCGGUAUCGGCGCCAACAGGAGGAAUGUCGUCGGGAAGAAGAAAGACGCCGGCAGGAGUGGAAUCGGCAUAAAGAUCAUUGGAAUUGCCCAUUCUUUAUCCACUGUUGGGAACAAAACAUCAAAUUGCCCACUGUUAGAGAUUGCCCUGAGUGCAAUGGUUAUGAUCGGUAUGAUAGACCUAAUCGGCAGUAUCAAAACAAUGAUCGGCGAUUUAAUGGGCCGAUUAGGGGGAGAGCUUUGGUUCAUGAUCAGCUGCGGGGCAGGCUCAGUGUGCAUGACAGACUUGGUGACCGUGUCGGGUACUUUCCCAGGAACCAAGAAGAACUUGAAGAAAUGGCGGAUGCACGAGUUCCCGAUGAGUUCAUAUUUUGUAGGGAUGCUAAUACUUAUCGAGUGGAGUCAAGGGAAAAUCGUCGUCCAUCGGUAAGACAGCCGCAAUGGUGUCCAGAGGGGUUGACUAGAAUGCAGAAAAGAAGGUUGCAGCGCGAAAGACGAAAAGAUUUGAGCAAAGGAGAGAAUUCUGGCAAAUCUGGAGAUCAGCAGCAACCGGAUCCUAAAGGAAAAGGGCCAUCGGCAGAUGUUAACAUGGUAUUUAUGUUGCCGAUGGAGUUCCUUGCGCCGUCCAGUGAUGGUGAGGAGCUGGAUUUUUCCGACCAGAUAGCUCAGUUGGCUCUAGAUCUGAUGACGGCUAUCUUUGAAAAGCCUACCGACAAUGAAAGGCAGCAUCUUAAAGCCCUGUUCGUCAAAGGAAGGGUGGAUGGGCAGCCGAUGACCAAGAUUUUAGUUGAUGGUGGGGCUGCUAUCAAUAUUAUGCCAUAUGCAGUCUAUCAGAAGCUUGGGAAAGGAGAUCAAGAUUUGACCAAGACCGAUAUGAUGCUAAAGGAUUUUGAAGGGAAUGUGUCUCCAGUUAAGGGAGCAAUAUGUGUUGAGUUAACUAUCGGCAGCAAAACUUUGCCGACAACUUUCUUCGUUAUCAGUGGAAAGGGUGCUUACAAUCUAUUGUUGGGGAGAGAUUGGAUCCAUGCCAAUUGUUGCAUCCCGUCUACAAUGCACCAAUGUUUGGUUCAGUGGGUAGGUGACAAAAUUGAGAUUGUCCCAGGAGAUUCUUCAUAUGUUAUAGCAUCGGCAGAGGCAGAUACUUAUGAAAGGACCAGAUGCUUUUCAGGGGAGAUUUGGGAAAAGGAUUUCCUCAAGGUUGCCGAUUAUGAAAUUCCACCGAUCCAAGCAGUCGGUUCUGAUGAGGAGUUUUAAUGGAUAGGUUCGCCGAUGAUGGAAAAUUAGGCCAGGGGUUUACAUCGACCGAUGAUUUAGUAGAGGUAGAUACAGGUAAUGGUGAUAAACCUAGACCUACUUUUAUUAGUGCUAAGUUAAAUUCUGAUUGUAAGCAACAGUUAACCGAUUUGUUAAAGGAAUAUAAAGAUUGCUUUGCUUGGGAUUAUACUGAGAUGCCUGGUUUGGACCGAUCCAUUGUUGAACAUCGGUUGAAUAUCAAAUCUGGAUUUCGGCCACAUCAGCAGCCGGCUCGCCGAUGUAAUCCUAAUAUUCUUUCUGAUAUUAAGGCCGAAAUAACUAAACUUGUUGAAGCUAAAUUUAUUCGGCAGUGUUGGCAUGCCGAGUGGAUUUCCAAUGUUGUCCCAGUUUACAAGAAAAAUGGGAAGCUUGAGUUUGCAUUGAUUUCAGAAAUCUUAACAAGCCUACGCUGAUGGAUGGUUACCCAAUGCCAGUUGCCAAAUUGCUAGUCGAUGCUGCGGCUGGACAUCGGAUCAUAAGCUUCAUGGAUGGCAAUGCAGGGUAUAAUCAGAUAUUCAUGGCUGAAGAAGAUAUUCCAAAGACCGCAUUUAGAUGUUCUGGUCAUGUUGGGCUGUUUGAAUGGAUAGUUAUGACCUUUGGCUUAAAAAUGCUGGUGCUACCUAUCAGAGGGCUAUGAAUUUUAUCUUUCAUGAGUUCAUCGGCAAGCUGGUAGAAAUUUACAUUGAUGAUGUGGUGGUUAAGUCUGGGGAUUUUAGAAAGCAUCUUGCCGAUUUGCGAAAGGUGUUGGAAUGCACAAGGAAACAUGGUUUAAAGAUGAAUCCUAAUAAGUGUGCAUUUGGUUUAUCGGUAGGGAAAUUUCUUGGUUUCAUGGUGCAUCAGAGAGGAAUUGAAAUUAGUAGGAGAUCUAUUGAUGCCAUCAAUAAAAUAGUGGCUCCUACCAAUAAAACUGAACUCCAGUCUUUGAUCGGCAAGGUAAAUUUUAUCAGACGGUUUAUAUCUAAUUUGUCUGGUAAAAUUCGUGCUUUCAGUCCUUUACUCAAAUUGAAAGCCGAUCAAGAGUUUGUAUGGGGAGAAGAGCAACAGUUGGCCUUGGAUGAAAUCAAAAAUUAUUUGACAAAUCCUCCAGUUUUAAUUCCACCUCAGCAAGGAAAGCCUUUCAGAUUAUAUUUGUCUACCGAUGGGCUGGUCAUCGGUUCAGCUUUAAUUUAAGAAUUUGAAGGGAAGGAGCGUGUGAUUUAUUAUUUAAGUAGAAGACUGAUUGAUGCUGAGACCUGAUAUUCGGCAAUAGAAAAAUUAUGUUUAUGCCUAUAUUUUUCAUGCAUUAAGUCGAGGCACUAUUUGCUAUCGGCCGAGUGCACUGUUAUAUGCAAGGAUAAUAUGGUCCGAUACAUGUUGUCUAUGAAAAUUAUGAGUGGUAGGAUCGGCAAAUGGAUUUUGGCACUAUCGGAGUUUGAUCUACGUUACGAAUCGGCUAAGGCAGUAAAAGGGCAGGUUAUGGCCGAUUUUGUGACUCAACAUUGCGGUGUAGUGGAGACUUUGGAAAUUGUUCCUUGGACACUCUUCUUUGAUGGAUCUACCUGUGACCGGGGGGGGCAGGAAUCGGCAUAGUACUAAUUUCCCCUCUGGGAAGGAAGUAUGAGUUCUCUUUGCCGAUCGUUGCCACGUCAACGAAUAAUCAAGCUGAGUAUCAAGCUUUGAUCAAGGGGUUGGAGUUAUUAAAAGAGGUUCAUGCUGAUGCUGUUGAAAUCUUCGGGGAUUCUAUGCUGGUCAUAAAUCAGUUAGCUGGAAGUUAUGAAUGCCGAAGCGAAGUCCUGAUAACUUAUUAUGAAAAAAAUUAUGCAACUAUUAAAGGAAUUCAAAGAUUUCCGAUUAGAGUAUGUUCCUCGAUUACAUAAUGAGGAGGCUAAUCGGUUGGCUCAGCAUGCCUCGGGAUAUCAACCCAUAUUAAACACGUUAUCGGCAAUCGGUGCCGAUGAUUGGAGAAAGGAGAUCAUUGAUUAUUUAAAGGAUCCAUCUAAAAAGGUUGAGAGGCGUAUCAGGUUUCAAGCUACCAAGUAUGUGCUCCUCGAGGAUGAACUAUAUUGUCGAACUGUAGAUGGAGUUCUUCUCAAAUGCUUAGGUAAUGAUGAAGCUAAAAGUUUGAUGGGUGAAAUCCAUGCAGGAGUGUGUGGAGCACAUCAAUCGGCUUUUAAGAUGAAGUAGAUGAUCAGGAGAAAUGGGUAUUAUUGGCCGACUAUACUCGAAGAUUGCUUUAAAUAUUUCAAAGGAUGUCAAGGAUGUCAGAAAUUUGGCAAUAUUCAAAGGGCACCCGCAUCGGCCAUGAAUCCUAUUAUUAAACCUUGGCCAUUUCGAGGGUGGGCUAUUGACUUAAUCGGCCAAAUUUACCCACCGUCAAGCAAAGGGCAUAAGUUCAUCCUAGUUGCCACUGAUUAUUUCACUAAGUGGGUUGAGGCUAUUCCUUUGAAGAAAGUUACAUCGGCUAAUAUGAUUAAUUUUGUGAAAGAGCAUAUUGUGUACCGAUUUGGUAUUCCUCAAACAAUCACUACCGAUCAGGGUACUAUGUUUACAUCAGGAGAGUUUGAUGAAUUUGCAAUCGGUACGGGAAUUAAAGUGUUGAAUUCUUCUCCUUAUUAUGCUCAAGCCAAUGGGCAGGCUGAGGCAUCUAACAAAGAAAUUAUUAAACUUAUCAAAUGAAAGAUUGAAGAAAAUCCUAGGAGGUGGCAUACAUUGUUGAAUGAAGCUUUAUGGUCAUAUCGGAUGGCUUGUCAUGGGUCGACCAAGGUUUCACCUUAUCAGUUGGUGUAUGGGCACGAUGCAGUACUACCAUGGGAAAUUAAGACUGGGUCUAGGCGACUAUCUUUCCAGGAUCAGUUGACUGCCGAUGACUAUGCUACUUUGAUGAAAGAUGAGUUAGAUGAUUUUGCAGGGCAUCGGCUUAAAGCUUUGAUAAGUAUAGAGGAAAAUAAAAAGAGAGUUGCUAAGUGGUAUGAUAAAAAAGUAAAAGCAAAGGAGUUUGCCGAUGGAGAUUUGGUGUGGAAACUAAUCUUACCAAUUGGGACUAAAAGUUCGAAAUUUGGGAAGUGGUCUCCUAAUUGGGAAGGUCCUUAUAGAAUAAAUCUGUCUGCUCCUGGUAAUGCUUAUAUUUUGGAAACUCUCGAAGGAGUUGAAUUUCCCAGAGCACUAAAUGGAAAAUAUUUAAAGAAAUAUUAUCCAAGCAUAUGGGUUGAUGCAUGAGAGCUAAGUGCCGAUAACAUUCCUAUCGGCUAGAUUAAAGUGUAUCUGGGACCAAGUAUGGUGUUUUAAAAAAGAUGCCGAUAACAGUCCUAUCGGCUAGACCAAAAUAGUCAGCGAUUCCUAAAGACAGAACAAGACAUGCUGCCGAUGAAAAGCUUAUAUAUUCAGCAGGGUUUGGAUAGCCGAUAUGGCGCGCAGACGGAUUUGAUCGGCUUCUUCUAUCUCCUUGAUGUCUUCAUCGGCAGAGCCCUCCACUGGCCUCAGCUUCUUCUUCAUCUGCAGUGCCUUGCGGGAUUGAAUGUUUUGCUCUUGUUCGAGGGUCUUGAUCAUUUCAGGUAGCUGACUUUCUUCCUGUUGAGCUUGGGACAGAGCCUCUUCUACUUGCUUAAGUUCUGCCAACAGGGCUUCCCUUUUUGUCGAUAGGUCAGAGAUAUUUCGUCUCAGCGUCUCUCCUGAGGAUUUUAGAAUGCCGAUGCUCUUGUGUUUCUCAUCGGCAAGGUGCUUCACUUUCAUUACCUCCUCCGAAAGCUAGGCAUGAGUGGCUCUAUCGGCAAGACGUUGGGCAGCCUUUUGAUACUGAAGCUGGCGGCUUUCCAUGUGUGCGGCCUGAAAAAGAGUUUCUUCGGCAUCGGCAGGGAUUUGACCUCUGAGAGCUUUGAACAGAGCUUUUGCUGGGUUAGAGUCGUUGACUAACUGAGCUGUAUCCUGAUGAAGUAGGGCCAACAGAUCUUCCAACUUUGCUCUGAUUUCUGCCGAUGAGAUCCCUACUGCUUGGGUGGAGCUUGCUUCCUCACCCUCAUCAUCAGAAAUCUCAAUAGCAAAAGAGAAUAAGCUGUCCGGAGAGUCUUGUUCCUGGAGAAAAAAAUGAAACAAGUUAUUUGAUGAUUGAAUAUACGUGAUAUAAAGGAUAUAAAUCAGGUGACUUACUUGUUUCAGGGCAAUUUCUCGCCUCUGGCUAGCUGAGGCCGAUGGCACCACAGGUUGAUCAGCCCGAGUUGCCGAUGAAACAAUGUCAGCUAAAACAAAAUGAGUGUUACAAGUUGAAAAAAAUCCAUCGGCAAAUAAUCUUAUGGAUAGAACCUUACCUUGAGGGAGUGCAGUGCUUGUCUGGAUUGAGGAGCCUACCGAUGAUAUGAUUGAUCCCACUGGAUCGGCAGUUUGCUCAAGUACAUCGGCUGAUAUUUCUUCUGGCAUGGGUACUUCUUGUGGCUGAGGUGGAGAUGGCGCUUGCCGUGUCUGAACUUCUGGCGAAGAAGGAGACGAUUCCACAUGAAUCGGCGACCUUGGAGGAGGAGGAGGAGGUGAUGCUGUCCUCUGGCGUUUUGCUUAUGACUUGGUACUCUUGGGGCCUUUCCUCUUGACUUGGCCAGACUGGGGGGCAUCGACACUUGUCCUGGUCCUUGCCGAUUUCCCAGUUUGCUGAUAUAACAACAAAAGUUUUAUAAGCACAAAUGUGACAGAGUAUUGAUGGAAUUUUGAUUGAGACAGUAAAGGUUACCGAUGAGGUUCCCAUAGUAGCCGAUGUAUCCUGAAAAGGUCGUGUGAGUAUGGAAUGGAAUCGGUGGAAAUUGAAGAAAUCAGGGAUUUACCUUGAAAGCUUGUGCUAGAGUAGUGGCAGCCACCGAUGAGGACGUCUUUGCUCAUCUGGUGGUAAUCUUCUUGAAACGCACGUUCCUAUGCAUCAGAGCUGCCAGGGUUGGUGCGUUGUUACUGAUAAGGGAGAUCGGGCCUGAUGGAAGGAGUUCGAUCGGCUUUCCGCUCCUGCUGACUGUCGGUGGUGUAUCGUCAACCUGUUUGAAAAGGAGAAAACGUGAGUUACCGAUAGGAAUAAAAGUAAUAAAAAAAGAUUGAAGCAUAGGUUAAAAACUUACAGUGUUCUCGGGGACUUUGUACUUGGGGUCGAUCAUGCCGCGGUAUGUGAGGGCCGAUCUGCAGAACAGGUGCUCUUUCCACUCCUCCCACCACUGUUUGUAUGCUUGAGUAAUGAAGAGAGCUGGGAUCCAAGCCGAUAGAUCAACAUCUGUAUCGGCAUUUGGUGGAAGUUGAGCUAUUCUGAUCCACUCAAGACCGCUGGUUAUGGUCUCCCUUGGUUUCACCACAUCGGCGUAGCAGAAUGCAAUCGGCAGCUGUCCAAAAGCUAGUUGGCGAGCUAGUGCCGAUCGGUUGUAGAACUCAUAGGUUAGAUUGGAGGCUUUCCCACUACCAAAGAAGUUCACUAGUAUGGCUCUCGGAGUGAUAAUUGCCAUCAUCAGAUCAUGGUCCUUAUUGAGAGCAACAUCAAAGGGGUGGAAAGUGAGCGGGAAUCUGGUUUCUGGAUCCUCAUAAGGCAUCCAUGCCCGCUGGUCUUUAGCCAGACCCUCAUAAAGAGUCUGAAAGAAUUGGCUGACCUGGUCCUCAUUGCUACCAGUACUAGGUAAAACUAUGGCGGCUUCACCAUAGUUCAGAGGGGAGCGAGUUGCUGAUUCUUCCUCAUCCAGCUCAUGAUCUUCGGUUAUGUCUCUGGGGAAGCGCUGUGCAAAGAGGUUGAACCCGAGGCGCUUAUGCAUAUAGACACUGAGCCACAUAUUAAUGAACCACCAAGGUCCCCUAAGUUGCCGAUAGGUUGGCCUAAUAGGAGUUUCUUAGUUACUUGGUGGAGGAGGUGAUAGACAGAACCGAGAAGGUAUCGGCCAAGAGGAAAUCGGCCACCAUUGGCCAGUCUCUCUGCUGCCGAUAGAUAGACAGAGGUUGGUCCUACCGAUCGGCCACAAAAUACAAACUUAUCCAGCCACAUGUUCAAAAAAAUGGCAUGUUCUCUUUCCCCAACAGGUCCUAUUUUGGUACUUCUGAAUGUACCCAGACCAACCGCCGAUACUGCGAGUCUCUACCUUAGAACUGAGCUUAUUAUCAAACAGAUGACUAUUAUCGGCAGUUGAUAUGUCUAAGCCGGUAAGCAUGAGUACAUCGGCAAGAGUAGGUGAAGCAGGGCCGUGGCCGAAUACAAAAGCGUUGAGUGUGUCUGACCAAAAGUAUGAGGCAGCUAUCAGCAGCGACUCGUUCCACUCCAUAUCUGCAAUAGAUAAUUUGAUGCAUUGGUCAAAUUUCCGCUCACCCCAUUGGACUUCAUUUGAAUGGCUGAUUCUCAGGAACCAGUCUUUCCAUCCCUUGGUAGGACUAGGCCAGGAACGGAAAGCAUCUUUCCACAGAUCUAAGGAGAAGUUCUCGGCUCUAAAGGGGAUCCUAUUUGUCUCUGCAUUUAUCAGAUCGGUAGGAUCUAGGUUUCCCAAUGAACCGAGACAAUGGAAGUGAGGCUGAUCGGUAGGGAUCGCGAUCUUAUCGGCUGAUUCCUAAAGGGUUUAAAGAUUGGAAGAACAAAGAAAAGAGAGAAAAAAAGUACUCAGUAAAAAGAUUCACAGAUGAGCAGGAGUACAGCAAAAGUACAGAAAGAAGGGGGAUGGUAGGUUGACCUCAGGGACGAUGAAGUUGAUGGCCAUUUCUUCCCGAGGAGAGGGAGAGAUCGAAGACUUUGAAGGUUGUUGGAGGAGGUCCUUGCUGGAGUUCUUGGAGUUCUCAAGCAAUGCCGCCGCCAGGAAGGUAGAUUGGAGGCUAUAGAAUGACAAGAUGGAGGAGUACCAGAGAAGGAGGUAUUUAUAGGACAAAAAGGGCAAGGGCAAAUCUGACUUAUCUCUUUGCCGCAUCCGUGAAAUCCAAGGGUGUUCAGGUGGAUAUGGUAACUGUUCGCACGAUAAUCAAGGGAUUGUGCAGGUGAUUUGACAGCAAGCGGUGAAGAUAUCUUACUGUGCAAGAUCACUUGGUCGGUCCAUCGGCAGUCCUCUCUAACGGUAAUAUUGCCGAUGAGCACAUUCUGGGGAGAUUCGGUUCGGAAAGUUGAGGAAUUUGAGGAAUCUGCAGGAGAAUCAGGCUGAGGUUGUUUAGAUUUGGUAAUUAAUUAUCAAUCAAGGGAAGUAAUUGCGGAAAGGUAUCAUUGCUGAGGAGAAUUUUGGAGCAUUAAUGAUUUUAUACUCCGAAAUUGGGGGGAUGUGUUGACACCGUUUUUGGACACGUAUCUUUGGGCACGCGUCUGGAGUUAAUGAGGUGUAGAUCGGCAGGUGGAGGAGUAGUGACUAGUCUACAAGAGAGUUGCCGAUGAGGGUUGAUGCCGAUGGAAAAGCAGCCGAAUACAACUAAGUCCAAGAGUGGUGAUACGUUCAUACCGAUGGCCAAUGCUGAUGGUUGCCGAUGGCUGUGAAGGGCAGUCUGCCGAUGACUCUGAAGAAAAGCGCAGGGGUUGCCGAUUGACUCAGGAUGGGGUACCGAUUGAUCGUGGAGGAUAGUUUAAUGUUUUCCUUAGUUAUUAGAGUUCGUUUUGUAUACGGGUUCCAUUUAAUUUGGAAUUCUAGUCCUAGUCGUAUCUGGUUGUAGCCCUUUGGAUAGGGUAUAAAUGUAGACCCUAGGGCAAUGUAAUGAGAUACCUAUCAAUCAAUCAAACACAAGUUUUUACACAUAUUCUAGCAUCUAUUUUUUUGGCAACUUCGUCAUAUUUUUAUUUUUUCUACGAGUUCUUAGGAAUUCGUCGAGUCAAACUCGGCAUGUUCUCAAGUUCCGCAUGAGCACCUCUUGGCCGUCACAUCCGAGCGCAUCGCUGUUGUCGGGACCAAAGUGUUCGAGUUACCACCUUUGUCGAUUGUAAGGUCAAAUCAGCUGGCACGCCUUAACGUUUGAAUCGGGUAUUAGCCCUUUGUGUUUGCAGAUCAGCUUUUGCAUCAACAAUCACGAUCAUAUAACCAAGGUUUUCCUAGGAGCAAUUGGCAUGCUUGCAUAAGCACCACAUCGCACUCCACAAGAUCAUUAUACCUCCCAAUUGAAAAAGCAACUGUCAUAACAUGGUUCACACGUAGCACACCACAAUCAUUUAGCCACUGCAUCUUGUAUAGAUUAGGAUGACACCUUUGUUUUAGCUCUAUUCUAUUAACCAAUUCUUGUCUAGCAAUGUUGUUGCACCUACCAUUGUCAACAAUAAUUCUACACAACUUUUCUUUGAUCAUGCCUCGAGUGUGGAAAUGAUUGUGUCGCUGCCCAUUCUCUUCUUUUGUAGCAGUAACACUAAGCACACGAAGAGAAAUAAAGCAAUUGUUAUCAUCUUCAUCAGGUUGGAUCUCAUUAUCAUUGAUUUUAUGAACCUCAUCAUAUCUUGGACCUUCUUCCUCACGAUCACUUUUAGAUUCCCAUUCACCAUUCUCAUUCACAAUCAUGGUCCUCCUACUAGGACAUUGUACAGUAAUAUGUCCACGAUCAUGGCACUUGUGGCACACAAUUUCUCUACUAUGUGCAGAGGAAGUAGCAACUAAAGGAGCAAUAGUUGGGGCUACUGCACUAGUAGCAGGUCGCUGCUGAUUUGUCGGAGAUGAUGAUAUAGAAACUGCCAUCUUCGAAGGAGCAUUAGAUGAAGAGGUCCUAGCUGUAGCACCUUGGGACCGUCACCCUCCAAAAGAAGUGUCAGAUUGCUGCUUGCACCACGAGGCUGCAAUGGAAUGACUUGCAUAAGAUUUUUCAUGUGUCCCUUGCUGAUUUUUUUCUUUUAGUAUGCAUAGCUUGAUCAACAAGGUCUUGCAAAGUAUGAUAUGGAAACAUUUUAACAAAACUAGCAAUUUCUUCAUUGAGACCACUCAAAAAUCUUGUCAUUUUUUGCUCUGGAUCCUCUCUAAUUCUAGCCCGCACUAACAACAACUCCAUCUCCUUAUAAUACUCAUCAACAGAUCUUUUUUCUUGCUUCAACAUUUGCAACCUAUUGUGAAGGUCACGCUGAUAGCUUGAUGGUACAAAUCGUCUUCUCAUCACUUGUUUCAUUUCUUCCCAUGUGUUGAUAUAUUCAUGGCCCAACACAAGUUGAUUCUCUUGUAUCUGAUUCCACCAAGUCAAAGCAUAACCAGAGAAUUCCACUAAAGCAAGAUUGACACGCCUCUGAUUAGAGAGAUUAUGUACUACAAAAAUUUGAUCACACUGCUCAGCCCACUCAACAUAUGCAUCUGCAUCCUCUCUUCCAGUGAAUUUUGGUAUACUCAACUUGACACAAGCAAUGUUGUCCGGGUCUUUCCUAUAACGACAACCAUGAUGAUGCUCCCUAUCUCCAUGAUCAACACGCCGUCGAUGAUCAUGACGCCGUCUAUGCAGCCCAUCAUUUGCAAAGGUAUUCUCAUCAGACCCCUCUUCUUGAUCAAAGUCACAAAUUCUUCAUCAUCAAAAGACAUACGGUGGCCAAGACCACGCCCAUGAGCUCAUCCUCCAUCUUGGCCAUGAUGAGCAGCCCACGCCUACCACCACCACGACCAUCUCUAAAACGGUCAUGUCCUGCAUCAGAAUUUUCACCACCAGAUUCAUCAUAUUGAUGCCGAGAAGCCCUCUACCCAUCUGCAGUUAUGCGUGCAUCAAGCAUCCUCUUCAUGGCCUGCAAGAGUAAGUCUUCCAUUUGGUGCAACUCAGCCUGUGCAACAGGGGGUUCUUCUUCUCCAUGACGAUUACCAUGAAUACUUGAACUGGAUCCUAACAUGUUAGCACUAAAGCAAGAUAUAGUGGAAUGGGUAAAUUUGUGAAAUCACAGAACCUCACCUCUUACUUACCAAUGCUCUUUCCUGUUCUCAAGGACAGUGAAUUGUGCUAGUGUAGCAGCUCAACAAAAGUAAUUCCAAGGUCACAAGGAUUAUGAGUCAAAUGUCCUAGUUUCAAUUUUUUGGUGGAGCUAUAGGUGGCUAAACAAGGGAGGCUACGAUACUAAAAAUCAAGUGGUUUGAUGUGCUCAAAAGAUAUAAUAUUGCUGGUAUAUAAAUCACCAAGAAUCUGAAUAUGUAAACUGAAUUUUUUCAGUAAGCAAACCGCAAUACAACCCCUUUCCUUUUCUUUUACUUCUCUUUUGGAUCUUUCUUUUCUUCUUCUUUUUCUUUCUCUAAACUUUUUUCUCUAUUUUUUUGAACUCUUUUUUUAUACUAACUGGGAUACGAAUAAUAAAUGAAACACAACACAAUAUAUGUAAAGAUGAUGACUAGCAACAUGAUGAACACAAAAACAUAAGAUAACAGUACCGACAAAGGUCUAUAGGAUUUUUUGUGGCUUUUCAGUGGACUAUAGGUGAACAAAUCGGUAACAAAUGAUAGAUAAACUAAAGGUCAAUAUGUGGAUGAUUGUGAGACCUACCGUGAUAACGAAAGCUUUGAUACUAGUUGAUAGGUACCGAUAUGAAACGGCAUGAGGGUGGCCUGAUCUUCAUGAUAGUAGGUUUAAAAUUGAGGAUAACUUGCCGACGAAUAAGGAUAACUUGCUGCAGAACAGUGAGCAUAACUAACUUUAUACCUGACAAAGGUUGGAUGCGACCAAGCGACGGGGAGAAAGGCACCGAAACCGCUAAGACUUCGACUCGAUCUCCGAAUGACCACAGAACCAUAAUCUGAAACUAAUCCACAAAAUACAGCGCAGCCAAACGGAAGCCGUAGAGCACGAAGUAGGGAAACCUAGAGGAUUCACUUCAUAAGUCCAAGAAGAACAAGGAAGAACAAAGGUUGAGUAAGACACUCAGCAGCGCGACUGCAAUAUCAUGUAGUUUAUCAAAUGAUCAAAGGUUGCUAAUAGCUUAGAGGUAGGAAAUAUUUAUACUAGGAACAACCCUCUUAGAUAGGUAUAAAAACAAAAUAGAGUUUCUGAGGGAAGGCAAUGUGAAAGGCCCCCUCAGAAUGGAUUCCCGAAGUAGUUUUGCAUGACUGUUGGCCUCCAGAGAGGUUUCCAAUAAACUGACCAUAACUCCUUAUUGGAAAGGCCAAAUGACGAACCAUUUCUUGAAUGUGAAACUAGACUUCAAGAGCUUUCCAGCAAUGUAUUCCAUGCACCAUGAAACAUUGUAUUUUUGUAUAGUUUUGCAUGGCAAGUCGAACCAACAUUCUUUUAUGACAGACUGUUGACCUUCUAAGCAGUCUUGACUAAUCCAAAUAUAACUCCUGAUUCUGACGUUCAAAUGUGGUGGGGAUUGAGGUAUUGGAAAGUGGACUUGAUGAGUUUCCCACUGCUUCUUUUUUAUGUCCGAAUAUUCGUCCAAACAUUCGUGGGAUCACUUUCAGACGUCUGAACCUUCAUGCAUGUUACUUUUCUGAUGUCAUCAUUCUGUAGCAGUGUCUCUUCCUCCUCUUCAAAUAUAUUCCUAAGUACAACCAAUGUAGAGCACUUAGGUAGUAUAACAUUCAUAGAAGUGUGAAAAUUACAAUCACUAAGGAAAUAAUUUUACCUGCUCUUGUAGCUUCUUAGCACGGCUUCUUGUAAGUAGAUCUUGAUGUGUAGCAUUUGGACUUGAAUGAGUGUGCAUAGCUGGGAUAUCCUUAUUUACAUGUUGGUCAAUUACUGAUUUUUAGGCCAAAUACCAAAUUGAUGAGUUUUUUUUAAAGGCUAAAUGAUGUUUUAUGAUGAUGUAGGGUAACUAGUUGUUAUUCAGUUCAUGAUGGUUUUGAAUUUUCUGACGGUCCUUCCACUUUUGUCAGGAAUAAUAUAGGUCUUUCUCUUCGGUUUUGUCCGCCAGACAGCAUGCAGUUCAUGUCGGUUUUCGGAAAACCGCUAGCGAUAACCAGAACCAAACGGAAUAAUCCUAAGUCUGGUAGUGACAAACAACUUACAUACACUCAUCUUUAUAGAAACACACACUCAUAUACUCUGCUCUCUCUAUAAAAGCACAUGCUUAUAUAUACUCUACUCCAUUUGCAACUUUGAAAAAUGGAAAAAGUCUACAUACCCCCCUAAACUAUCUAGGGUGAAAUACUUAUCCCCAAACUAUAAAACCGGAUAUUCUACCCUCUGAAAUUUUAAAACCGGUCAAAUAACCCCCUAGAGUGGUUUUAGAGGGUGUUUUAUCUUUUUCUUUUUUUAUUUAUUUCUGUUGAAUCUUUAAAACAUCAUAAUAAAUAACAGAAAAAUCAUAAAAUAAAAAAUUCAAUUUUGUUGGAAUCCUGAUGAGUAGAUCUACACAAUGAAUAUAUAAUAUGAUAUACUUUAGUACAAAGUUUUGUUUUAGCUUUAAAUCUGUUUUUUUGUAUAAUUAAUAAGAAUAAUUCAUAUAUGUAGUUCCUAUGGUUCAAUUGUGGUAAAAUUUUUAUGGUGGGCUCAUUAUUGUAUGCUUGAACUAUGGUAAAAGUUUCAUACCCAUUGGAUCAUGUAUAACUUAGUUAUAGAUUUAUUUAGCUUUAUUCUUGUUAAAUCUAUGCUUUAUCUAUAACUAAGUUAUACGUGAUCCAAUGUGUAUGAAAUUUUUAGCAUAGUUCAAGUAUACAAUAAUAAGACCACCAUAAACAUUUUACCACAAUUGAACUAUAGAAACUACAUAUAUGAAUUAUUCAAAUUAAUUACAGAUAAAUAUAGAUUUAAAGCUACAACAAAAAUUUUGUACUAAAGUAUAUCAUAUUAUAUAUUCACUAUAUAGAUCUAAUAAUCAGGAGUCCAACAAAAUUAAAUUUUUUACUGUAUGAUUUUUCUAUAAUUUAUUAUGAUUUUUCAAAGAUUUAGCGGAAAUAAAUAAAAAAAGAAAAAGACAAAACCACCCUCUAAAACCACUUGAAGGGGUUAUUUGACCGGGUUUAGAAUAUCCGGUUUUAUUGUUUGGGGGAUAAAGUAUUUCACCCUAGAUAGUUUGGAGGGUUAAGUAGACUUUUUUCUUUAAAAAAUUAAGCCAAUAGUUGUUAAGAUUGAUGAAGUCAGUCUCAUAUGGGAUAACUCCUAUAGCAAAAAUUCAUACUAACCUAUGGUUUCAUGCAACCAUGGCUUGCGAAGUACUCCCUCUAUCCGGAUAAGCGUGCAAUUCUAGCCUCCAUACCAUGUCCGGUAAAGAAUGCAACUAUAGCUUCAUAGAGUAGGUGUACAGUAGGUCCCACUUGUACUCUCAUUCAGGGCUUGUUUAGAUGCAAAAAAUUUUUGGAUUUUGACACUGUAGCAUUUUCGUUUUUAUUUGACAAACAUUGUCCAAUUAUGAAGUAACUAGGCUUAAAAGAUUCGUCUCGCGAUUUACAGACAAUCUGUGUAAUUAGUUUUUAUUUUUAUUUAUAUUUAAUACUCUAUGCAUGUGCCGCAAGAUUCGAUGUGAUGGAGAAUCUUGUAAAGUUUUGGGUUUUUGGCUCUAUCUAAACAAGGCCUCAUUUUGUCCACACAGUUGUCUGUGCUCACUGCUCACUACUAGUUUGAAGCAAAAAAAAAGUUAGUUGUGGGUGAUAGGACGUGUCCCAAAAUAGAGGUAACAGGGAAAUUUUGUAGCUCUUCUAAGACCUUGUUUAGAUUGGCGAUGAAAAAUUUUUAGGUGUCACAUCGGAUGUGUCGGAAGGAUGUCGGGAGUGGUUUUUAGAAACUAAUAAAAAAACAAAUUACAUAGCUCGUCUGGAGACUGCAAGACAAAUCUAUUAAGUAUAAUUAAUCUGUCAUUAGCAUAUGUGGGUUACUGUAGCACUUAAGGAUAAUCAUGGACUAACUAGGCUUAAAAGAUUCGUCUCACGAUUUUCAACCAAAUUGUGUAAUUAGUUUAUUUUUUACCUACAUUUAAUGUUCCAUGCAUGUUUCCAAAGAUUCGAUACAUUUAAUAUAGCCCUGUUUAGUUCCCCACCCAAAAAUUUUCAUCCAUCCCAUUGAAUCUUUGGACACAUGCAUGGAACAUUAAAUAUAGAUGAAAAAAUAAAUUAAUUACAUAGUUUGGUUGAAAAUCGUGAGACGAAUUUUUUAAGCCUAGUUAGUCCAUAAUUAGCCUUAAGUGCUACAGUAACCCAUAUGUACUAAUGACAGAUUAAUUAUACUUAAUAGAUUUGUCUGAUAAGCUAUGCAAUUUAUUUUUUUAUUUUUUCUAAAAACCCUUCCGAUAUUCUUCCGACACAUCCAAUGUGACAUCAACAGAGCCUUAGCAUCUUUGCGGCUUGCAGGGCUACGACGGCAGCAGCCUCUAGCAGUGUUCAUACAAAUGGCUAUAUUAAUUAAUUUGCAAAGCACCCGGAGCAGCCAGCAAUUGGAAAGUUCAUACACGCGGCGGAGCUGAGGUAUGGCGAGAGCCAUACCUCGCCCUACCGAGUCCUCCGCCAAUCUGGGCUAGGUAAAAGUGUUGGUGCUGCGGUCUGACUAUACCAACUAAUAUAGUGUCUGUGCUAACAUCAUGAUUUUUUUAGGGAAGCAUGUGAAAACAACCAAAUAAUAAAUUAUUUUUUCAAUAGUUCAACUUUUACACAUUUGUAUUUGAGCAUUUAUACAAUCUGAGAAAUAGUUCUGCAAAACGACAAUAAGAAAUGUAUAUGCAAAACGACAAUAACUAAUUAGUUGUUACAAGCACACAUUCAAUCUUUAAGCUAUUACCAUGACAUGAGUAAUGUUAAUUUCAUAAUGAAAGUACUAUCAUGUUUCAAAUAUAAUUUACAUAUCUUUUUAAUUAAUCAAAUCUAUAUUCUUGUCGCACCACAAGACCCGGUUCCCAAACAAAUGGUAAGACAAGUAAUUAACAAUUGUACCAUUCAAAAAAUCAAUAAGAAAUGCUCUCACUGGAGAAUUAAAAUGAAAGUAAGUAGUUCUCUUUAGUGUGCUAAACAUCACCGAUAACAUCGUCUAAGGAAAACACCAAACAUACAAGGAGAAAGAAUGAGUUCCUUUUGAUCAGACACACAGAUUGCAGUGUGUAGAUGAUCCCAGGAAAACACCAAUGCAUUUUCAAGGGGUCCAUAUGUUGCUCCCAAAUGGAGCUAGAUGGAGGAAGUUGUCAUCUCUCUCCUUGAAUGGUGGCUGAAAUAGUGAAAUGGUACCCGAAAUAGAGAAACGAGUGGAGGAAGCGGACAACGCCACUAGUCUCCCUCUCCCGUGCAUGCAGCGAACGGUUCGUCAUCAUUCAUCAGUUCCGAGGAGAUUUGGAAUGUGUCUGCCUAAUCCCGAUCUCAUUCCCUCCAUCACAUCCGGCCGGCGACAGCGACGACCAAGUUGGAUCGAUUGAAUCCAGUUGAAGCUAAUUAAGCCUCCAUUCGAUAUCACACGUUGAUUUGAGGCCAGCCGAGCCGAGCGGCGGCCGGCGGCGACAUGGCGCGGUCGAGCGCGGACGACAUGGAGCUGAAGCGCGGGUGCGAGGCCGGGAUCCUCGCCAAGGGGGACCGGGACAAGGUGGUGAUGUGCAUGCGCGUCGCCAAGAGCCGCGGCGGCGGCGGCGGCUUGGCCAAGGUCAAGCUCACCUCCCGCCACAAUAUGGCCAAGCCCCGCGUCCUCGCCGUCACCGGUCAGUAUCCCGAUCCCUUCCAAUCUAUGCACGUUACGUUCCAAACCAAACCAUGCAAGAUGAUGACAUGCUCGUCAUCCACUCGCAGCCAAGGUCAAAGGGCAGAAGACCAAGUCGUUCCUGCGGGUGCUCAAGUACUCCAAUGGCGGCGUCCUCGAGGUGCGUGAUCUGUCUCUUUUUGUUUUUUUUUUUUGUUUGCUUGUUGUUCUUCGAUCCGCAGAUUGAUUGUUUCGCCAGAAUGGAAAAUUGUUGUAAAGAUGGAUUAUUCUGAUUGCCCAUGCAUGUAUCAGCCGGCAAAAGUGUACAAGAUCAAGCAUCUCCACAAGAUAGAGGUCGCCCAAAACGAUCCCAGCGGCUGCACCUUCGUCUUGGUAUGCAUAAAUGGUUUCAUAGUAUUUGACGGUGGCUCAGAUUUCAACUUUAGAUUUGUCAAUAACGGUUGCAUAAAUGGUUUCUAAGGGAAGCAGCAUAUGUAUAUUUUCCAUAUUGCAUAUAUUCUAUUUCUACCUUUUUCAUGACGAAUCUGACUGUUGUGCUUUCUGGAAAUUAAACUGUUGUUCAGGGGUUUGACAACCUGAAAAGCCAGAGUAUCGCGCCUCCACAAUGGACCAUGCGCAACAAAGAGGACAGGUGAUGGACGCAUCAGCAUCACGAUUCAUAGCCUAUUCUGCUCCUGCAGGCAUGUGUGACCUCACUUGAAGGUUGUAUAUAUACACUGUUAUCUGUUGCAGGAACCGCCUGCUGAUGUGCAUCCUCAACAUGUGCAAAGAGCACUUGGGAAACAUCCCCAAAGUCGUCGGCAUGGACGUCGUCGAGAUGGCAAUCUGGGCAAAGGUAUCAUGUCUCUUGCUUAAUUAGGCGUUGCCGAUACAUGUUUUUCUUUUGGUGUAUGGUUACAAUGACCAAGUUGGUUCUGAAUGUGUGCAAUGGUUGGUAGUCUAUAUUUGGUUACCGAUAAGGUAUCAAAUACUUCAGUGACGGUAAAAGCUUAUUGGCAAUGUGAUGGUAAAAGCAAUAUAAUGGCAAAAAUAUACUCGCAUGAUAUAAUGGCAAUGUCAUUUUCCCAAAGCAAUAUAAUGGCAAAGAUAUACUUACAAAAUAUUAUUCUCGCAUGAUAUUGUUAUAAGACCUUUAUGUUUGUCACUCUCAUUCUCCACCUGUGUGGAACACGUGUAAUGGUAAUGGAAAACCAUGAACCAUUGGUCUGGAACCUAUAGGGUUAUUAUGCUCUGCAUAGAAUUCUAAUUAUCGUUUAGAUGAGAUAAAAUUAAUUCCAGAUGUGGGCCCUCUAACAAAAAACCCACGUUUUCUUUUCUUUUCUUUUCUUUCUUAUUGCUCGAUCCUAUUUACAAAACUUUGAUACAAAUUUUUUAGUAUUUUUGUUUAGAGAAGAAACAUGUCACUAUGGGCUGGUUGUGUGUGUGUUAAGCCGAUGGAGCUGUUGGGCUGGGUCGAAGUAACGAACCGAGCUAAGGAAUAGGGAUGAAAUCGGAUCGGAUACGGACGGAUAUUAUUGAUAUCAUAUUUGUUUUCAUAUUUCAAAUUGAAUUCGGAUUCAAAUACGGAUAAUGUCAACAUAUCGGACAAGAUAGGAUUGGAUGUCGAUAUUAUAAAUAUACGAUUUAAGUAUUCGAAUCUGGAUAUAAAAUAUUCGGACUCGAAUACAGACAGAUCUAAAUCUCUCUAAAUGAAUUUGAUCUCAAAUACAGUCGGAAAAUAUCGGUACCUUUUUCACUGUGGAAUGAGACAUCUCUGAAUAACGAACACGAACCCCUCCUCAUUCCCUAUCUCUGAACUCGCUGUUCUUCUCUCCCCGAAAUCCCCAUUCCAGCUCUUCAAUCACAGUGUGGCGGCGAUGGUGGAGUGGCACCGCGCGGUGGCGGUCGGGUUCUGGGAGUGAGAACGCGCUGUAGCCAUGGUGGAGCAGGGAAAGGGAAACGAGGACGGUGGCGUCAGUCGUGUUGUGACUUGUGCCUGUGAUAGUGGAGAAGAAAGCUCUGGCUGCCUGCGGCUGUCAGUGAGGCCGCGGCUUGGGUCGCUGGGCCGCCAGUGGCCUCGAUGUUAGCUGUCGUACCGUUGCCACCUCCACCAUCUCAAGAGCAGCUGACGUUCCUGUAGUGCAAUGGAGCCUGGAGCCAUUCUGGGGAGAUGAAUGGCUCUAUCGCUUUGUUGCAUAAUGAAGUUGAGGAUACCUUUUCUCUAAGAAAAAACAAAGGAGAUGAAUGAGCCCUGUUGCAAAAUAGUUUGCCAGCAAUCAACGCAGGUUUCUGCCUAGAAGGUGUUUGACGAAAUGCUUCAUACAAAGAUUUUUUGCAUUGGGCUAGUCAAAGUGUAUCUCCUUGUCAUAGUGGCACUUUCAACUGUGGUGUGCAAAACAUUACCAGCAUACUUGCAAUUACUCGUCCUUUUUCCUUGUUACAUUUUCUGCAGCUGUAAUGCAUAAAGACAUGCACUAGAUUAUCCACUUCAAAUUAAAACUACUAGACUGUGAUCACAUGUUUGAGUACCUUAUGUGUGUCUCUGCAUAUAAUUUUGUUUUUGCCUGUCGAUUCUACAAGCACUGACAAGAGGAUUGUUAGCAUCAAAAUUUAGGAGAACACUCGAGCAAGGGGUUGUAGCAUUUGUAUAUAAGAUUGUACUAUGUUUUUCUGUAACAAUGAAUUGUAUUUCAGAACACUCAAGCAAAGGUUACACAAGUGAGCAAUAAAGAUGGGCCUGUGGAAUCACUAGUAUUAGAGGCUGAGUCGCAAGUUAUCGUUGAGAAAGACCUCGUUUCUCAGGAAGAAGAGGAGGACAUUGAGACUCUUCUUGGCAAGUAAGUUACCUGAAUCCGAUCUAAACAACUUCAGAUAUCUCCUUGGCAGUUGGCAUGCCACCUUCUGUGCUUGCUGAUCCUGAUCAUUCAGUUUAUCUAUCUUCUGCCAAUUGAUUGGAUAUCUUGGACUCCUGGACUAAUACCUUAACAUGCUCCACGUCUCAUACCAGAAAUUACAGUGAAAAUGUCAUAAUUGCCUUUAUUUUGGCAUGAGUGCAACUUGAUUCUUUAUGUGUCUAUGGUAUACCUUUGCUUGACAAUAUGACUAAUGCAGCUAACUAUUUUCUUCCAGUUAUGUUAUGGCCAUUGGUGAAGCAGAGGCUUUUUCAGAAAGGAUGAAACGCGAACUUGUAGCUCUAGAAUCUGCAAAUGUUUAUGCCCUGAUGGAAACUGAAUCUGUUGUCGAAGAGGUAUGCACUCUUCUUAACUUUUUUUAGACUGAGGAAUAUAAAAUUUCGGCCAUCAACAUCCACGAAUGAAUGUGUACAAUCAUUCAAUACAGACACAUAGUACUUAGACCACACUUUACCACAAGGUAAAGUUUACAAGACUUAAGCCUUGAUCCUAUUCUGAUUUCACCAGCCAAUUUGUUGAUCAAUUCCAGCAUUGAAGUCUCCAACAAUUGACUGCAGUCCUCUAGAGACGCACAGUGCAUCUGAACAAACUCAACACUCAACUAGGAAGAGCUUUGGCAAGCCCCUUAUCCUCAUCCAAACUAUUCCUCCUUCCAGGGUAUUGAAUGAUGGGGGGUCGGUCACCGGUUAGCUAAGAAGGACGCCGAGUGCCUUCGACGAAGGCCCUUAAGUCCCUGAAUCAGCACCUUACCAACUUAUGUUGCCCAUUGGUGAUUGGUCACCGGUGAGCUAUCGCUACUGCUGUCGUCCAUACGCCCUCGACCCUCCAUCUCUGCUUUCGUGUCUUCAGCGUGGGAUUCCCUGGGCGGGACCUCAAGGAGGGAUACAAUGCCAAGUGCCGCCACCCGCUUAAGCUCAAGCAUGGGAUAUAACUUUCUAAUUUCCCUUUCCCAGUGCUACAGUAUAUCCCUUUCCCACUACCCAAACAUAGGUUAGGGUUCAAUUGUCUCCUCAUAUCCCAUACCCACCUCUCAUUUCCCACUUCCCAAACGCCACCAUAGAGAUUUACCGCUUUGAGUAUGGACACCCCAACGAUGGUUCCAAUGAAGAUAGUCACACUGUAAGGUGUCACCGUAGUUGGCUCCAACCGGAGCUAGCUGAGGUUUUUGCCCAGGUCAACCCACCCCAACCCCACAAAAUACACCACAAAUGGACUAAUGGAUGGUGCGGCCCUGUGGCAGUGCUGGUGGGUAGGUCCCUUUGCUGCCUGAGUAGGCGAUGCGGUACCACCCUCCACACAAGUUGCUGGAGCCAUGCCCCAUCAUCUGGAGGCCAAUGCCGAAGCAGGCAACACGGAUUAGCACCCCUUUAGCCGCCUCACGCUACCGUUGCCAAGGAAAACCAUGUUCAGAUUAACGAGCAAGGAGAAAACUCCUGUUACAUUCACGGUCUUCUGAACGGGUGUGUUUCCGACCGUCCCUGCUAUCAAACGGCACCACAGGCCUGGAUCCAACCACCAACUGCAAGCCCAACACCGGGUUUGUGCGCAUUGCCAGAUCCACUGGAUGUCACAAGCACCUCGCCAUCAUGCCCGCAACAGGCAACACGGAGAAUAACCUGUUAGGUUUCAACACUGCAGGAUCAUGAUUUACCUUAUAUGUUGAAAUAUAUUGCAAAAAUGAAUUCAUUACCAACCAUGAACCAUAUGCCUAUUUCGUUUCGGUAGGUUCUAUUGAGUGCCUUUGCUCUAAACAGUCAUCUUAUCUCAUCCUUGAAUAUUUGACUGGUUAUAUACAACUAUUUUAUUCUCAAAGGUAAUUCCAAUAAAUUUACGAAAGGCAUAUUCUUUUCCUGCAGGUAUUGCAGGGUCUAGAAGUAGCCAGUAUAUGUGUUGAAGAUAUGGAUGAAUGGCUAGGGAUUUUCAAUACAAAGCUCAGGCAUAUGAGGGAGGAUAUAAAAUCUGUAUGCUUACUUUCACCUUUACUAACGUAUGUGCACAAAUUAUAUUUCCUUAGAGUUGUUGUGAUUAAAAUUAUUUUCCCCUUUAAUGCCUGAUACAUUUGAAACCGAACUCUAGGGUUGUCUGAGGGAAAGAAACUCAAUAAGAGCUUAAUGAAACAAAAUCUGAAUUGCUUGUCACAGGCUUACAACUUAUAGUGCAUCUUGGCUGUUCAAAUUUGCACCUAGUGUUGUCUCUACUGAAGACAUUACAAUCUCCUACCAUAUUCAUAUUAAUUGUUUAAAAAUUGAACAUAUGUACAUGAUGAAGUUGCAGGAUCAUUGAUAAAUAUUCAUUUAUGACCUUCGACGGAUGUUACCCUUCACAUUUAUAUCAAGUAAUUAGAAACUUAUAAUUCCAGUUUAUACUGAACUUCAAGGUUGUUGAAGAUGAUAAUGCAACACACAAGUCCAAUUCUAAUGUGGCCUUUGUAAUAUGUGCAGCAGUGUUAUCUUUUUUUUCUUUUUGGUGAUAAUGCAAUAACAGGGCUAAAAGAAUUUCCCACCUCCUUGCCUUUGUGCCGGAUGGGAAACAGUAACAGGUUUACAGUUGGCUGGAUCCUGUUUGUCGUUUGUCAUCGGCGGGCGAUCUGUGCAACCUUUUGUAAACUAAACUGAACUGUUUUUGUUUUCCUGUAAUGUGUGUUUGUAAGGGUUGUCGCCUUCUUAAUGCAAUUAAAUGCAUCUUUUCUGCGUUUUCGAGAAAAAAGGAAGCAAGGUCAAGAAACAUGCAAGAGAGUUAGUAGAGGUGUUUGUAGGCCUGUCUAAAGUGGUAGUUUUGCUUAAGCAAUUCGCGGUCCUGGGAAUCUGGGAUACAUUUGUUGUGUAUAUUUUGAAUCUUCUCUCUCUGUGAGGGCAUUCAUUCUAUGUUAUCUAAUAGGUAAAUAAUAUACACCAUCUGUCAGAAACUGAAUUCAAUAACCAUAAACUGUUUCACUAACCAGAUCUAUCUACGUGUUUGAUCAUGCCGAAGCUCCCCAAAACUAUUCCAUUAAAAUGUAUGAAUUCAUGCAUGAACUGACAGUAGACAUAUAUACCUUAUGAUUUUGCAGAUAGAAUGGCGUAAUAACAGACUGGAGUUGCAAUCUGAUAGUAAUGUGGCUUUGAUUGAUGAGGUAGACAAAUUGCUUGUGCUGCUGCAGAUUCCACCUGAGGUGUGCAUUCUAUUGACCUAUUAAUUCCUUUUUUCCUGUAUUUAUAUUUAUGCUACAAUAAUACCAAAAUUCCUGAUGCUAUUGAUCAUACUGCAGUAUGAAGCAUCAUUAACUGGAGGAUCAUUUGAUGAAGGAAAUAUGGUUAAGAACAUUGAAGCCUGUGACUGGUUAACCAGUGCUAUAAAGAACCUAGAAGCAUCCAACAUAGACCCAAUCUAUGUAAAAUUGCGUGCUGUAGGUCCUCUCUCUCUUGGUACAACUAGCAUUUCUUUUCCUAUUGAAGGUUUACAUGCCUGAGAUUUUUGUUUAGUAUUGCAUAUCAGUGGAUAUUAACUUAAUCCUUAAAGCUGUGCAUUAUCGAUUACAUUAGAUCUCGAUUAUGGCUAUAUUGUUAUGGAUAAUGCACAGCUUUAAUGUAAUUCUUUUGUAUUAUUUUAAACAAAAAUGUGGCUUAACUAAUUUGCAUCUGAUUUGUAAAAAUAUACAGGUUAGGGAAAAACGUGCAGAAUUUGUACUUCUUAAGUGCACCUUCGUUCGGAGGGCAUCAGAAUUUUUAAGGAAUUACUUUCCUAGUUUGAUUGAUUCUAUGCUAAAUGACAAAGGAAACUUCUCUGAGGUAAAGCUGACUUCAAUAGCUGUAAUAUUGAAGUGUAGGAUAAAAUCAGGAUCUUUGUGAUCACAUUCCUAAACACUUGCAGCGAGGUCAUCUGCAGAGGCCUGAUCACGCUGAUAUGAGGUACAAAUGCAGGACUUAUGCACGGCUUCUACAACACAUCAAGGUUUUUGCAUAAUAACUCGAUGUGAAAGUUUUUGCUACUGAUAACGAGGAACAAAUGGCUUUUAGCUAGUAAAAUUUGGUGCAUUCUAAUGCCCUCUUUCUACUCUGUUUUCAAGAGUUUGGACAAGAGUUGUAUGAUGCCUUUGCGGAAAGCUUACUGCCAUUCACUGAACAUGCUAAUUCGACGUGAGGUGGGGUUCUAUGAGUACUUUUUUUUUAAAAAAAAUUCUCUUCAAUACUGAAAGUUAAUCAAGAUUAUUGACGUCUGCUUAGUAUACAUCAUUAAAUUUUCUAAGAAAUUCUAGGACUCUUCAAAAAAUGCACAACAAAAACAAUGGCCUGACAUAACAAUCUCACAUUUGUUUUGUAGUCUCGUGACUUUUCUAAUGAACUCCGUAAUAGUUCAAAAGCAUCAAAGAGCAGCACGCCAUUGUUUGAGGGUCCUGCAGGUGCAAACCAGCCUGCAAGUAUUACAGAUAGUCCUGCAGAUGCAUACUCCAAGAUGAUUACUGUUUUCAUUCCACUUCUUGUUGAUGAGGUUGUUCUGUAUUUCAUUGCAUUAUUUUUGUUAAGACUUAAUAAUAUUAGUAUCCUAAUAACACUAUGCAUGAAUAUCUGUGACUAGAGCUCAUUCCUUGCACAUUUUAUGUGCUUUGAAGUUUCCGCACUUUCUCAAUCUGAUGCUUCAAGUAGCAAUCCUAAUGCUGAAUCAACUAGUACUUCUUCGGUUGCAUUAGAAGCUUCUGCAAGCAAAACAAGUAAUAUAAACCACCACCUCCCAAGUUAAACAGCAUUCUUUGGAGUGAAUGUAUUGAUUUUCUUCCUUUCAGAAAAGUGUAAAAGUUAUUAUUUUUUCAGGUAACAAUCCAGCUGAGCUGGGUGCACUAAAUCAAUGCCUUCAGGAGUUGCUUGAUGGUAUUCAGGUUGACCUUAUUAGUUUUCCUCAUAUAUUGCAUAAUCUAGACUAUAAAUGCCGAUAAGCCAAGAGCUGAAUUAACAAAAUUUUGGGCUGCACUGUUGAAUCAUCACUUGUUUUAUAUGGUUCCUUCUCAGGAGGACUUUUAUGCUUUGGUUGACUGGGCAUUCAAGCUAGAUCCACUGAGUUGCAUAUCUAUGCACGGAAUAACAGAUCGGUAUCUUUCUGGUCAGAAAGCAGAGGUCUCCGGAUAUGUACAAGUGUUGCUUGAUGACUUGGAGACAAGAAUAACAAUUUUGUUUAGCAGGGUUUGACUCUACUAUUAGGGUAGCCUUUUUUCUACUUUGGAGAGUUCUUCCAUAUGUUCCUUACUCUUUCAUAUUCUUGGUCAGUGCAGUUUGUUGAUGAUGCCUGCUACCAGAUUGAGAAGUAUGAGCGCAAUGUGCGGCAAGUUGGAGUUGUUCCCUAUAUUCCCAGGUCUGUGUUAUGUUUAAAAUUGCUAUUUGUAAAUUCUGAAAAAUUCUUCCAUAGGUUCUCUAUGGGGUAUACAUAACUAUGUUUAUCUGAAUUUGUUCAUAUUCUAGGUUCUCACAACUUGCAGCACGUAUGGAGCAAUAUAUCAAUGGAUCCAGGGAUCUAGUUGACCAGGCAUAUACUAAAAUCGUAAGAACUUACUGACCCUCACCAUUCAAUGUUAAAAAUAAUUUAACAAAUUAUGCGCCAACUUGCAUUUGCAACCUGUUAGUCCCUGGGAUUCCUGCACAGGUAAGCAGUAAGCUUACCAGCACACCCACACACUCACUCACUAUGGCUAGAGGUAGAAGAAGGGGUUGAGCUCAAGCACACACACACAUAGCACAAGCACCAGCGCUGGCCAGAGCUCUGCUCUUUGGUUUGUGGCAACUGAACUGAAAAAUACAUUACUAGGGCUGCACUUAUAUACACAAAGGGGUAGGUUCAGUUUGUGUAUGAACUGAAGCUACUGAAGGUGGGCUGCUGUACUGCAGUCAAAGUCUACUAUCCUAGCUGCAGGAUAAGCCUGCAAUACUUAUUAGCUAAGGACACAAUGGCCUACCAAAAAUCUGUGUCCUCACUACUCCUAGUCAAGUGUUCCCACUACAGCUUGACUGCUGUUCAACCUUUCAAAGCUGGUCUUUAGUUUCACAUUUCUAGUCACCAAGCUGCAGCCUUGACUGAAGAUUGGUCUGCAGUUGCAGACUUCUUUGCAAGUCCAGCAGCAAAUUAUUCAGCACAACCAAUCUUGGCCAUUUCAUACCACUCCGAUUUAUAUUUGUCUUCUCAACUACACCUGACACCUCUAGUUAACUUAACCAUAUGUGACUGAAACAGGUGAGUAUUAUGUUUGUUAUACUGGAGAAAAUUGCUCAAGUGGAACCUAAAUAUGUUGAUAUUGUACUUUUGGAAAACUAUGCUGCUUUCCAGCACAGGUUUAGUUCUUUUUUCUCCUGGUGGUAUUCUGUGUGCAUUUGUAUGACUGUGCUACUGUUUUAUGGCAUUUACAGCUCUAAAAUGGUGCUUAUGUCCUUCAUUCAUAACUUAUUUUAUGGAAACUACAGCAAAUAGGUUCCAACCUCCAACUAAUGGCUAAAGCUUUGUGCAUCCUUGAAUGAUGCUGUUAGAUUAUCCUAGAGUACUGUGCUAGUAUCUCCUUGGUUCCUGUGUAUGUGCUAUUUACUCCUAAUUACUCAGUUGUACGCCACCCUAUGUGGCUAGAGUAAACUGGCCCCUUGGGCCUCUAUAUAUGUGUAACUCCUCUGUAAUCUCAUUCAAUUAAUCUAAGCCAGUCGGCAUUCUGCCUUCAUGGUAUCAUAGACCUACGGUCAGGGUCCCGUGCCCCGUGCCGACCCUCUGCUUCCGCUCCCCUCCCGGCGUUCGCGCCCUCUUCCCCUCUCUCUCUCGGCAUUUGCGCCAUGGCUGGCACCGACGGCUCCAGCACCAGCGCCUCUGCUGCUGCCAUCACCGCCGCCAACGCAGCCCAACUGCGCGACGCUGCCCUCGUAGCCGCCCAGCGCCUCGAGGACGAGGCCUCUGCUGCCCGCGCGGCCAACGACGAUCGGGCUGCCCAACUCCAGCAGGAGGCGGCCCUCCUCAAGUCCGCCGCCGCCGCCCAGGAUCGGGUUCGCGCCGCCGCUGACGCCCUCUCCAAGGAGCGCGCGGAGGCCGACGCCCUGGAAGCGCAGGCGGCCGAAAUCCGCGAAAGACUUCGUCUGGAGGCCCAGCGCGACACUGAGGAGGAGGAAGACGAGCGCUCUGUCUCCUCUGAGGCCACUGCUAUCACGCACCUGCACAAUCAGGCCUGCGCGGUGCAGAACGUCAAGUACCUCAUUCCCAUCGUCCUCGACCUCAAAUCCCCUCACUACUCCAAGUGGCGUGGGUACCUCCUCCUCGCCCUCGGCAGGUACUCUCUGAAGGAUCACGUUCUCAGCGAUGAGUCCCGCCCCACCGAUCCUGCCUGGUAUCGCAUGGAUUGUGUGGUCGUCUCGUGGAUUUUCAACAGCAUCUCCACCGACCUCCUCGACAUCAUCCACGCGCACGACGGCGUCACUGCUCGGGUGGCCUGGCUUGGGAUUGCGGAGCAAUUUCUGGGCAACCGCGAGUCCAGGGCGCUACUCCUUGAUGCUGAAUUCCGCAAUCUCUCCCAGGGCGAACUCUCUGUUGAUGACUACUGUCGCAAGAUGAAGGGCAUGGCCGACGCCCUUGCUGAUCUCGGUNNNNNNNNNNNNNNNNNNNNNNNNNNNNNNNNNNNNNNNNNNNNNNNNNNNNNNNNNNNNNNNNNNNNNNNNNNNNNNNNNNNNNNNNNNNNNNNNNNNNUCGUCUCGCCGAGCUGAACAUGGUGCAGCCCUCAGCGGCCCCUACUGCCCUCCUUGCCUCCUCCUCAAGCAAGCAGUCCUCUGCAGCACCAGCCCCCAGUCCUGCUUCUCAGCGCACUUCAUCAGUGCCUUCAUCCGGUGGAGGUCCUUCAGGCAACAAUUAUGGUGCUGGUCGUGGCCGGCGUCGCCGUGGCGGGCGCAACCAGGGCGGCCAACAGGGAUAUUCAGGCGGCCAGCAGGGAUACUCAGGUGGUCAGCAGGGACACUCUGGUGGUCAGCAGGGACACUCAGGCAGCCAGCAGUGGCCGUCCCUCUACAACCCUUGGACCGGGUCCAUUCAUAUGUGGCCCGGAACCACACCUGGCGGCCCCCGUCCUCCUCCAGCACGCAUUGACUCUCCUCAGCAGCACGCCAUGAUGACUGGCGUUCAGCCCCCAGGGUACUUGCCUCCUCCAGGGACAGGCUCCUACUCCCCGGCACUGCUACCUACUCCUCCGGCAUGGACUCCCUGGACUCCUCAGUCCCUCGCCCAGGCUUUCAGCACCGUCUCGCUCAAUCCGCCAAGCAACAUGGACUGGGUUUUCGACGUGGCCGGCGUCGCCGUGGCCGGCGCAACCAGGGCGGCCAGCAGGGAUAACUCAGGUGGUCAGCAGGGACACUCUGGCGGUCAGCAGGGACACUCAAGCAGCCAGCAGUGGCCGUCCCUCUACAACCCUUGGACCGGGUCCAUCCAUAUGUGGCCCGGAACCACACCUGGCGGCCCCCGUCCUCCUCCAGCACGCACUGACUCUCCUCAGCAGCACGCCAUGAUGACUGGCGUUCAGCCCCCAGGGUACUUGCCUCCUCCAGGGACAGGCUCCUACUCCCCGGCGCUGCUACCUACUCCUCCGGCAUAGACUCCCUGGACUCCUCAGUCCCUCGCCCAGGCCUUCAGCACCGUCUCGCUCAAUCUGCCAAGCAACACGGACUGGGUUUUCGACUCCGGUGCCUCUUCCCACGUCGCCUCCGAUCCCGGUAUUGUUACCCCCACUUUCUCCUCCUUUCCCUCCUCCAUUGUGGUGGGCAACGGCGCCACACUUCCUGUUAUUGGCACCGGCUACGCCACAAUUCCUGGACCAUUUCGCCUUAACAAUGUUCUUCUUGCUCCCGGCAUCGUUAAGAACCUCUUAUCAGUUCGUCAAUUUACUAUUGAUAAUCAUGUUUCUAUCGAGUUUGACCCUUCUGGUAUUUCUGUAAAGGAUCUUCGUACCAAGGACGUCCUCCUUCGAUGUAACAGCUCGGGGCCCCUCUACACCUUGCAGCUACCUUCGACGUCCUCUGCUCCCUGCGUCCUUGUCGCCACUCCUUCGUCGUCCAUCUGGCACCGCCGCCUCGGUCACCCCGGCAAGGCGGCCCUUCAGCACCUUGCUCACUCUUCAUCGAUCGCCUGCCCUCAGCCUGCAGAUGAUCAACUAUGUCAUGCCUGCCAGCUAGGACGCCAUGUGCGCCUUCCUUUUUCCGUUUCUUUGUCAAGGGCUUCCAAACCCUUUGAUUUAAUACAUUGUGACCUAUGGACGUCACCUGUUCCAAGUAUUUCUGGAUUUAAAUAUUAUCUAGUUAUCCUCGAUGAUUUUUCUCAUUUUUUGUGGACCUUUCCACUUCGCCUUAAAUCUGAUACUUUUCCAACUAUUUCUAAUUUCUUUGCUUAUGCCCGUACUCAGUUCGGGUGUCACAUCAAAUCUGUCCAAUGUGACAAUGGUCGCGAAUUUGACAAUUCUGUCUCCCGCGCCUUCUUUCUCACCCACGGUGUCUCCCUUCGCAUGUCAUGUCCGUACACUUCUCAACAAAAUGGAAAGGCUGAGCGCAUCCUCCGCACCACCAACAACAUCAUCCGCACGCUUCUCAUUCAAGCGUCCAUGCCCCCCUCUUACUGGGCCGACGCCCUCUCCACCGCCACCCAUGUCCUUAACCGCCUCCCCACCAAAACUCUGAACAUGACCACUCCCUUCUUCGCUCUUCAUGGUACCCUUCCCUCCUACCAUGACCUUCGAGUCUUUGGGUGCACCUGCUAUCCCAAUCUCACAGCCACCACAGCCCACAAACUUGCUCCCCGUUCCACUCUGUGCCUUCCUCGGUUACUCCUCCGAUCACAAAGGCUACCGGUGCCUCGAUCUUUCUUCCAAUCGGGUCAUUAUCUCUCGUCAUGUUAUCUUUGAUGAGACGACCUUCCCCUUCUCUGGGCACCGGACCACAGCCCCUCAUGAGCUUGAUUUUCUAACUAACGAUGGGCCCCUGCCAGCUUUCUCUUCUCCUGCAGGUACAUUUGUACACCCCACGCAGCAGGCCACGGCUGCGGCUGGGUUGCCUGACGAUGACGAUGAUCCGGUGCCGCUCCUGCCCCCCAUCCGGGCUGGGCCAGCACCCCGGUCCUCUCCUAUGGCACAGCCGCCACGGUCUUCCCAGGAGCCCCCAGCAGCACCUCCUGCAGCACCUUCUGCGCCCACAAUACUGCCCCAGGCAGCAGCCCCAGCACCCACUGCUCCACCCGUGCAACCUAUACCAGCAGCCUUCCACAAGCCGCCAGUCACCCAAGUUUAUUCUCGGCGUCCUCCACCAGCUGCUACUCCACCACCAUCACAGCCUAUACCAGCAGCCUUCCACAAGCCGCCAGUCACCCAAGUUUAUUCUCGGCGUCCUCCACCAGCUGCUGCUCCACCACCAUCACCGCCAGCUGCUGCUCCACGCCGCUCCACAUUCAUCCCCUCACCACCAAGAUUUGUCAAAGAUGCCCCCCCUCCCUGUGUUGUUCCUAUUCCUCCGGUCGACAACAAUCAUGGCAUGAUGACUCGUGGGAAGUCUGGAUACAUUCAGCCUCGCAUCCUCCACGCCGAGGCUCUUUCUCCAAUUCCCCGGACCUGUCGCGAUGCCCUUGCAGAUCCUCACUGGCGUCGCGCCAUGGAAGAUGAAUAUGCAGCCCUCAUGGAGAACCACACCUGGGAUCUUGUUCCUCGCCCCGACAAGGCCAACGUGGUCACUGGCAAGUGGAUUUUCAAACAUAAAUUUCAUGCUGACGGCUCCCUGGAAAGAUAUAAGGCUCGUUGGGUUCUUCGCGGAUUUACUCAACGCCCCGGCAUUGAUUAUGACGAGACAUUCAGCCCCGUUGUGAAACCCGCCACUGUCCGUACAGUUCUCACCAUAGCUCAUUCCUGGGACUGGGCGAUUCAUCAACUCGAUGUCAAGAAUGCAUUUCUUCAUGGGACCCUUUCAGAAACAGUGUAAUGCUCACAGCCAACAGGAUUUGCUGACUCUGCCCUUCCUCAGCACGUUUGCAGACUUAACAAAUCACUUUAUGGCUUGAAGCAGGCCCCCAGUGCCUGGUACAGCCGUUUUGCCUCUUUCCUGCUCCCCUUGGGUUUCAGUGAAGCAAGAUCAGAUACCUCACUAUUCAUUUACCGUCGGGAUACAGAGAUUGUUUACCUGCUGCUCUAUGUGGACGAUAUUGUUCUCACUGCCUCUUCCCAGCAGCUCCUCCGCCGGGUCAUUGAUGCUCUGACGAAGGAAUUCGCCAUGAAAGAUCUUGGCCCUCUCCAUCACUUUCUUGGCAUGACAGUUCAGCGACAAGGCGACUCCUUAUUCCUCUCCCAAUGUCAGUAUGCUCUGGACAUCCUGGCCCGCCAUGGCAUGAGUGGUUGCAAACCUUGUUCCACUCCGGUGGAUACAUGUGCCAAAGUAUCUGCUGAUGAAGGUUCUCCUCUUGCUGAUCCUACAGACUACCGCAGCCUUGUAGGCGCGCUUCAGUACUUGACAUUCACCAGGCCUGACAUUGCUUAUGCAGUCCAGCAAGUGUGUCUCUACAUGCACAGCUCUCGGGAGAUUCACCUUGUUGCUGCCAAAAGGAUCCUUCGUUAUCUCCAGGGUACUGUUGACCAUGGCCUCAUCAUCCCUCGGACUUCUUCAUCACAGCUGGUUGUUUAUACUGAUGCUGACUGGGCUGGCUGCCCAGACACACGCCGCUCCACCUCUGGUUACGCCGUAUUCCUUGGUGGCAGCCUCGUCUCCUGGUCCUCCAAACGGCAGCCCACCGUCUCCCGUUCCAGCGCGGAGGCUGAAUACCGUGCUGUCGCCAACGGCGUCGCUGAGGCUACUUGGCUGCGGCAACUUCUCCAGGAACUACAUCAGCCCCUUACCUCCGCCUGCCUAGUCUACUGCGACAAUGUCAGUGCGGUUUACCUCUCCACCAACCCCGUUCAACAUCAGCGCACCAAGCAUGUGGAGAUCGACCUUCACUUCGUCCGUGAACGUGUUGCCAUUGGUGCUGUCCGCGUGCUACAUGUUCCAACCACUUCCCAGUUCGCUGAUGUUUUCACCAAGGGACUACCCACUUCGGUGUUUCAAGAUUUUCGCUCCAGUCUGAAUGUCCGCAGCUGCGACGUUCCGACUGCGGGGGGGUGUUAGAUUAUCCUAGAGUACUGUGCUAGUAUCUCCUUGGUUCCUGUGUAUGUGCUAUUUACUCCUAAUUACUCAGUUGUACGCCACCCUAUGUGGCUAGAGUAAACUGGCCCCUUGGGCCUCUAUAUAUGUGUAACUCCUCUGUAAUCUCAUUCAAUUAAUCUAAGCCAGUCGGCAUUCUGCCUUCAGAUGCAACUGGGAUAUUGCCAUUCCUUUAUCUAAAUUUUAAGAACUAAUUGGAAAAUGCACACACCCUUCAGCUGCCUCAUCAACUAUAACAAAAAAGAAAUAAAAUACCAAAGUAGUCAAUAUUAACACUGAAGUAACUUUGUACAUAGGUGAGCCAUAGAGCAUGAGUGCAUGACCUUAAGAGGCUUAAAUGUCGUGAGAAAGAGAUAAGCUCCCUCUUCAUAUUCGCCUUAUCUCCUGAUAUACCUGAUUCACAAGUUCACUGCCUGGGCACAUUGCCAUUUGAUCGCACAAGUAUGUGCUGGACCGUUUCAUCUUUCUGAUAUCACAACACACAAUUAGCAGGGUGAGAAAGACGACUUCUUGCUAAUCUGUCUGCAGUCCAACAUUUAUUUUUAAUUGCAAGCCAAAUGAACACUUUGCAUUUAGACAGGGCCCAAGAUUUCCACUCGCUUCCAGGGUGAAAAUGAUUGAACCAUAGAAGAUGGCUCUGUAAGCCGAUUUUGAAUAGAAGGAGCCACUUGCCUCAUGUUUCCAUAAAUAUUGAUCCCGGUCCAUUGACCAUUCAACCACCAAUAGGGUAUCCCAUAACUGUAAAAAUUGAAUCAAUCCUUCAAGAGAAAGAAAGGCCAUCUUUUAUAUCUCUUACCCAAGUACAAUUAUCAAGGCCUGUGCAAAUGUUUUGGUAUUAAAGCAUCUACAUGGGACACAAGCUACCACCAUUGCAGCAAGAUCAACCAAGGCCUGGCCAUGUAGCAAAUGAUCCUAUUAAAACAAACUGUUUUCACCAUUUCCAACCAGGGAGAUUACUGAAAUGGCAAACAUGGCUCUCACUUGAGGCUGAACUAGGAAUUCCAAAUCCAAUCAAGUUGGUCUUCACUCCUCACUGGUUUUCCUCAACCACAGCCAUCUGAUCUGCAAGGCCCAACCUUUGGGAAGCAAGUGCCAAACAGUUGGGCCCAACCCCAUAAUAUACUACAUCCCUGAGUCUUGGGGGCCAAUCUUGGGGAAGAAAGCGCCAAACAGUGCUUGUUCAGCCUAUACAAAUGAGCUGAUGGCAGCAAUGAUGCAACCCUCUCCUUCAACUUUGUAUUGAACCUGUCCAUAUGUCCCACUAAAUAGCAUUGAGUUAUUUUUAUGAUCUUCCAUAUAGUCUGUCACUUGCAGUCUGCUCAACAACUAUUGACUCCAAGUGACAAAAAAAAAUCAAAGCCUUCAUGUAAGAAUUAAGAAAAAAAUAAUGAAAAAUGAGAUGUGAACAUUUCAUGUCAAAUGCAAACAUGGAAUUUUUCUUUAUCAAAAAAAAGUUCGAAAACAGAAACACCAAAUUUUGUGUUUGCAGAAUGAAGGUACAUAUCAUAAACUGCACCAAGUAAUGCUGAAAAUUUACCCGUAACAAUUGUGAAUACCUAGUGUUUUGUAGAACUAACUAACGAUAUAAUUAAUUUGAUAUGCAGCUUAUAUGAUUUGGCAAAUGUUGUGCCAACACUUGCUAAAUAUUAUCAUCAAGCUAGUGAAGCCUAUGAACAAGCUUGUUCACGCCAUAUCAAUUUGGUCAUAUAUAUUGUAAGUUGUCUGUAACUCCUUUCGGUUCCAUUCCCAUUUCCCAAUGGGAUGAUACACUAAGGCAUUUGUAUUUGCUGCUUGUGUCACGGAACUUAUGCCUGUUUGCUUUUUUCAGCACUUUGAAAAGCUAUUCCAGUUUGCUCGUAAAAUUGAGGAAUUAAUGUACAACAUGAGUCCUGAGGAGGUGAGUCACUUGUUUUGGUUCUGCGUUGUCUUCCUGAAAGUUUAUGCCAUGUAGUGACCUAAUCUCAGAGCUGGACUAUUUUCUCUUGUAAAUUCGUUGGUAUUAUUCUAGUUUGGACUUGUGUGGUAUUAAAAUAUAUUCAUUAGUGUUUUUCAGAUAAUGAUCCCUGUCUUGAUCAUGUGCCUUCUAUUUCUGGAGAAACAAAAUUAAUAUAGGUACCACAUCAAAUACUAACAUGUUAUUUUAAGAUGUAUUUCCAUAGACAUAAUGAUAUGGAAAUACGUUUAAUGCUUUUACUAAUGAACUCUGCAUUGUUCUAGAUCCAUGCUUUGCUAUGCUGCGUGUCUAUCUUCUAAAGUCCAUGACCAAAAACUGUUUCCCGUCUAAUGCACUUUUUGUGUAUAAAGUUAUUUCAAAUGUCUAACUCUCUAGGCUUAGUGCACAGUAUGUUCUGUUGGUAGAAGUAUAAAGUGUAUAUUGUUGGAUACUUCUAACUGCCACAGAUACCCUUCCAAGUUGGAAUGUCAAAGGUAGAUUUUCGCAAGAUGUUGAAGUCUAGCUUAACUGGAGUAAGUUGAGAGUAAAUUCGUCUUUAACAUCUAUGAACUUUCAUGAUCUUAGUCAUAAAGCACUAUCCCUUACUAUGAUUUUAUCUGGUUGACAGCUUGACAAGACAAUCAAUGCAAUGUACAGAAAACUACAGAAGAAUAUGACUGCUGAGGAAUUGCUGCCUUCACUAUGGGAAAAAUGCAAGGUAUAUAUGUUCACUUCAUAAUUGUAAACAGGGAAAUGAAGAGGUGAGAUAUUGUAAUCUCCAUAGUGAGACACAUAAGAUGCUAUACCUCUCACAGUGUUUGAUCUUUGUUCACCUUAGCCAAAUUUGUCUUAUAAAUGCCAUAUAAGUUUGAUUGAAGGGAAACAACUUGAUAAUUUUUCUUACUUGAUGUGUCGUUUGUUGCAGAAAGAGUUUCUUGAUAAAUAUACAACAUUCCUUAAGUUGAUUUCGAAAAUAUAUCCUGAUGAAAAGGUGACAUCUGUGAACGAAAUGAGGGAUAUUCUAGCUUCACUGUAGCUGUUUCAUUAGAAGGUAACUUUCUGCUCUCUGAUUUCUACUACUUGCCCUGCUACUUGUUUUAUUGCAAUGUUCAUUGUUUGUGCCAGGUUAGCAUAUUCAUUGGUUUGCUUGCACAUAAGUUGACCUGAUUCGCAUCAUCUCAGGUUCUUGAUCCUUACUGAACCAUCUCCGAUAUGUGAUCCUUUACCAGUUAUCUGAUUCAUAGUCUGUCGUGGAACUGUUAAAUAAACUCUGGUUGACAUUGAUGUUAAACAAUUUAUUUAUUUGUGUUUUUACUGCCAAUGAUGUGCAUCAGUCGAGGUUAGAUACUAUGAUUGUGGACAUUUAACGAGAAAUUUCGAUAUUUAACCCUCAAUACGCAAGCCUCUCUACAUUUGACAUCAAAUUCGCAAGCAGAAAUUUGACCCUGGACGCGCACGCGAAUUGUUUUGAUCUGAUGGAUUUAUCUCAUUUUCUCUUAUUUCCUAUUUUCAAUAUUCUCCUGUUUACACAGGAUACCAGAAAAGGCUAAACUACCCUUGCCUCCUGUGAGAACAUAACUAGAAUCUCUGCUCAGCCUUACAAUCUAGUCACGGGAUAUUUAACUUAUUGUGGUACCUCUCCAUUUGCCAGUUUUAGAAUGACACCUACGGAGCUCGAAACAGCGGAUCUCCUACGUAUUUAUCACUUUUGCUGAUGUGGCAUGCCACGUGGGGAUGCCAACACAACAUCGUCCUCAUGUCAGCACAACAUCAUCCUUGGAAACCCCUAUAGGGCAUGCGAAAUUACCUAUUUACCCCUCUCUCUCCCUCCAUUAGCUGAUGUGUGGGCCCUUUCCCUCCACUCGCUCUUCUCCUUCAACCUCUAGCCAUCACCACACAGUCAUCCCUCAUAUCCACACUGUCGUGGGAGCUAGCCCCCUAGAGGAGGUGAGCAGGUUGAGGCUGCCCACAUGAGCUCGUAGACGACCCCGAUAGCUGCAUCUGUCUUGGACCUCCGAGGCAUCGACACAUUGGGCUCCCAGUCACCAGGGCCCUUUGAUUCGGAGAUCAUCUUCGCCGUUCUAGCUCCACGGUCCUCCGCCACUGCCGCCUGAUCCUUCGAGGCAGGAGCCGUCGUUGCUAGAUAAGUAGUCGCCCUCGUCAAAGUGGCAAAUACGUAGGAGGUUCACCGUUUCAGAUGGCAGUUCUGUAGGUGUCAUCCUAAAACUGGCAAAUGGAGAGGUGCCAUCCAUAAGGAUGGCAAGAAGUUAAAUAUCCCUUGAGUCACAACUUGUGCAAGUGAGAAGCGAGAGCCAGGUGUCUCCGUCGUCGCCCACCCAGGUAUCUCUAGCUCUGGCCACCUGCACCGCCCGCCGCCGGCGAUCUCUACCUCCCGCAGCCGCUAGGGUUUGGGCGACGAUGCUAGGGUUGCUGGAAGCGCCCGCUUGGAGAUGUGUUUUUGGCAAGGCAGCUAGGUUGAUUGGAGCUAUAUAGUCAGGACUAGAGGCAAUUGUUCACAAGUCGGCUUUGUAGCUUGCAGCGCGAUAUGGUAGGUAUUCUUGUAUGGCAUUGGUUAGUUCGGUGUAGGAUAAUGUUGGCUAAUGUCGCAAGAGGCAACAUUGCUGCAACAACUAUACAACUUGCAGUGGCAUGCAGCGACUAGCCUUGCAUGGCAAUGUCUUGCUUGGUGUGGGACAUCGUCUUUAACUGCGGCACAAGCAUUGACAACGUUGAUUGACUUGGUAAUUUUAUCGUUCGAUGAUAGUGUUGGGUUGGUUGCGGCGUGAUCCUUUGCUUGUGCCUUCUUUUGCUGAGGGAAAAGUGGUAUGGUUUGGUGGUUUAUCAUCCUUGUGUGGUUUGUGUUGAUGUCUCAAUGUAACCGCCAAUCACUUGGUGUAGUCUUUGUUGUUUUUAGUUUUUAGUUCAUACUAGUUACUCUUAUGCAAUCUGGAUUUUUCUUUUUUUAUAUAAUCACAACUCUACUGCUCGGUUCUUUUUUUAAAAAAAAAGAAAGAUGAUUGUAGAAUCCUGCUAUAGAGAGAGAGAUUUAUUUCAAAUUAAGGCAAGUCUCAAAAUAACAGCACAUAUUGCUUUUUGAGGAGUCAAAGUUUCACCAAAUGUAUAACAAAAGGUGUUGAUAUUUGUGAUCGUAAUAAGUAGUAGUACUACAUUAAUCAUGACAUAUAUUUUUAUAAAAUAUGCAAAAAAAAAUAUUUUAUUAUGUGUAAUAAGUAUCAGGAGAUCAAUUGGGGUAUAUAUUUCUAUAAUAAACUUAUUUGGUGAUACUAAUGUUUUCAAACUUUAAAGUUGACUUUUUGAGAAACAUGUGUACGUGAAAAGCACAAAAUGGUCAUGUGUACAGGUUCUUUGGAGAAUAAUUAUCAGUUUGUGAAGAAAAGGAGAUCCCCUUGUUUGGGUAUUGGGUUGCCUCGGACAGAUAUUGUAGCUGGCUGCUGGAGAAGAGAACGAAGCACAUCUGACCCAAGGGUCGUUGUUAACUGAAGAAGCUUAGGACUGGUAACAUUGUGGUAUUAGCUAUCAAGAUACUAGUAGGUUUGUAGCUAUUGAUGUUAAUAGUUUUCUUAGCUAUUUAUCUUUAGCCCAUCAGUAAUUGGCAUCUGCACACAAAUGGAAUAAACUGCAGGCACGUCAAAUUUGUCACAUAUGGACAAUGCUACGUGUGACAAGAAACACAGCCACGCACGCAAGCAUACCUUGAUAUGACAGUCCAGCGCGGGAUGUAAUAUGUUCCAAUUGGUUACAACAUAUUUUCGCUAUCCAGUGUUGUCUGCUUUUACAAAUAAAGUUAUGCAGCGACAUGUUUGGUGCUCUCUAUGUUAAAAUAUAUGAAGCUUAGGAUAUGAAGUUUGGUUCAUUUUUGUUUACUAUUUAGUUGGUUCUAUAAACAUAAAUUUAAUUUAAAGCGCAGGAAGUACUAGAUAAUUGCUAUGGCCAGAGAUAAGCUGAUAAGCACUUCAAUUUUUCUGAAAGCGUAUGUUAUCAAAUUUAUUAUAUCUCUUCUCUGCUAAUAAAAACAGCUUAAAUGCUUUUUCACUAGCCGCCUCCUAGCGCCGCCACCGCCUUCCUGCCUUACCCUCUGUCCUCACCAGCGAUCUUGCUGCGAAUAGAGCAAUGGGGAUCCAAUCCCUUUCCAUUCGUAGUUUUAGGUUAGGUUUGUAAUCCUUGUUGAUCUUAGGGUUUGAUUUCUGAGGUUCUGAACAAGGUAGAGGGAGCGAUGGUGCUAUGGAAUAAGCUCUUUUUGAUCUUUUCUUCGAUGACAUUCGAUUGGACAUCGGAGGGCCACUAAGAGGUUGGUGUAUUAGAUUUGUUGAUCCUAUUAAGUGGCCCGCCUCUAUAAACUAAUUUCCUGAAGCAGCAUUAACUAUUUGAUCCUAUCUGAAGCAUAGUUAUUAGGACCGAAACGGACAUUGAACUGCUCAAGCCCUCGGUUCACGGUUUGAUUGGUCCAACGGGUUGAACCAACGGUUUAAUCCAGUUCAAAUAGAAUGAGGAACACUAGUACAACACAGCUGACAAUGCAGCCAGUGGUGGAGAACUCGCCCUCCAGCCCUAGAGUCUAGGGUUUAAUUGUUGGCUCCAAAUUUUACACAGUUUUGCCUCAUUUUCUCUACUCUCCGGCUCUCCCUCGCCAAUCGACAACACAACCCACGCAGACUUCUAGGCUGGCUGGUUUUUAUCAGUUCAUUGUCUGGUUUUAUACCAGUUUAUAUAAAAAAACACCGAUUCACCAGUUUUAUACCAGUUCAAUUGCUUACCGAUCCUAUAAGGUGAACCGUACCGGCCAAGGCCUUGGUUCGGUCCGGUUCAAAUAACUAUGAUCUGGUGUUCAACAAUGCCACCUGUAAAAGUAAAAUCAAGACUCUUAAAUUAGUGCAUACAAAUUUAUUAGUACUUCCUCCAUACCAUAUUAUAAAACAUUUGGUUUUUCUAGAUGCAAUUGGUUUUGAUAUAUACUUAGAUAUACAUUGUCUAGAUACAUAGUAAAAGUAAUAUAUCUACAAAAGCCAAAAAUAUCUUAUAAUUUGCAACGGAGAGUGCCUAUACAUCAAUAUUUAUGGUGCAUAAUAGUGUAUUGUUUGAUGUUGGAAAUAUUGGUACAUUUUAUAAAAUUGGUUAAAAUUUAAAAGUGUGACUUAGGUUUAACUUAAAACUCCUUAGAUUCGAUUUUAGAAUAGAAGGGAGCAUCUAACUAUAUAGCAAUCGAAGGGAGCAUAUAUAACUAUACAGUUAUAGUAAUUAAUAACUGCAAUUCAAAGAAAUUACUAACAGGACCGGCAGCUUGAUAUAAAACUGUGAGCCUGAGAGCACCAAUAGGGUACUAAUCUAAAGGUUUUAUAUAGUGAUAGUGUUGUCAAGAGGAAGGCAGUUGGUGCGUUAUUGUGAGCAAAGGACAACUGAGGUCAACAUGGCCGGAUAGGAUAGUCGUUAAUAAGAACAAUCAUUGAUCCUAUCGAUCCAAGGAAACAGCACUUUAAACCAAAGUUUUCCUCUGACAAUUUGGUACUUAAUCCAAAAGCAUGAUUUCCCAAAAAGAACGCUGCCACCACCAUAUUUAUCAGCUGCAUCACUACGCGACUAGAAACAUGCAUUCUGAAUUCUAGUCAGUCUUUACCCAGUUUCAGUCCUAUGAUUCUUGUGCACAGUUCUUCUCAACAACAUUGGAUCUAAGCAUGGUAGCACCCUAUUCAACAGACAUACAAAGGGAGAGAUCCGAUCAUCAAACUGCCUGGAUAACAUUAUUAGAUUUGCACGUGCAUGACUAUAAUCACUCACAGGAGCUAGUGCUCGGCAGGGCAGAUAUCUUCCAAGCUGCAAGGUAAAAAAGAUCGAGCACAUCAAAACGAAGAACUUCAGUACAGAUUGUUAAAGAUGUGGUGCAGGCACACAGACCUUUUGCCCAAGAACUCAAUGAUAUCAGAGGUGACAGUUGAUCUCUUGUUCUUCUCAAAAGCAUGUGAUGCAGCUUUCCUGAGUAGAAGAGAGCCAGCUAUGCACCCAAGGGUCAUAGGAUUAACUCUGCAUUGGAACAGAACCAAAUUGAACCCUUGGGAUUCCAUUCUGAAAAGAAGGUAUCCAGCAUUACCUUUUCUCUGUAGGUUGUUCAUUUGUCAAGACAAAGUGUCGUGCCCACGAUGCAAAUACAGCCACACUGCCACCAACAAAUAGUGAUAGGAAACAACCAAAGAUACUGUUAACUGUAAGGUGUUUGCUGUUUAUGGAAAUGAAAAGAACACGUUUUCUGUACAAAGAAAAGCUGUGUAUGAUUUUGAUCCAUAAAAUUCUUUUCACUAAAAAAAACUUUACUGUGUUUAUGCUAAAACAUGUGCUACAACACAACAUAUUUUAAUCUAGUAUACAAUUUUAGAACUGGUAUAUUGCGAUUAAUAUUUUACAGAAAUCGCAGAAAAAAGAAAAAAAGAUUUGAAUUAAAAUAGCCAGGCCUAUUCACAACACAACCAUGGGUACACAAGCAAUACAUUCCUAUGAGACCUUUUUUCCAAUUUGGAUGAAAGCUUGCAAAAUAAGAAAUUAAACUAUAUUUCCAAUUAACUAAUUUGGGUGAAUGCUAUCAAAACAACAAAAUAUGGGAAAGUGCUGUCAGCAAGCUGCAGAUGAGUAGUAAUCAGCACUCUGCAAUCAAUCAGCACCAAUGCCUAUGUAAUGUGCGCAUGUAUGUGCAUGCAUGUGGUGUGUUAGCGGUGUAAUUUGGUUUGUACAUCAGGUUUUAUCCUCUUUUUUAAUUAUUUAACGCAAUCAUAUAAAACUAUCCUGUGCAUUGGAGGGGAGAAGGGGGUAAUCAGCACCGAGAAGCAACACAAUAACAGACCUUCCAGAAAGGAUGUCACCUUGACCACCACAUCGUCUUGGGGAACCAAAAGUACUCACUUGCGUAACUUCAGAAACAUGAAAAACAACAUAUCUAUUAGCUCAAACUAAUAAAAAAUAAAUAGUCAGUGUAACUUCAGAAACAUGAAAACAACAUAUCUAUUAGCUCAAACUAAUAAAAAAUAAAUAGUCAGGGAAUAAGCCAAAAUUAUAACAAAAGUGAAGCUAAGGCAUCUGAGCAGAGCCUUUUUAGAAGUUUAUAAAAAAAAAACAAGCUCUCUAAUAUACCUGUUUUACCAUCACUGAUGACAUCAGCUUUUCCUUUCUGCAUUAUUGUUACAUCACCAAUUCUAAACAAAAAAAUAAUAAUCAGGAAACAUUAGUUACAUCACAAAUGAUGAAAAUUGAGAAAACACAUUUUUAAAAAGUAACAAUAAUGUUAUGUUCAUACUUUUGGCAAAGUGUGAUUAGCUGCUCAGAAGCAGUUUCCUCAUCUACAUCACAGUUAAGAACCUUCUGAACAAGACGCUUGUACUCAUAGACAUUUGGUGUUAAAAUGGCAAGAGGGUUUCCUUCAACAAGACUAAGGUUAUUGGUUACAAGAAACAGGCCAUCCUGAAAAUCAAACAUACCAAGUUCAAAUGACUCAUAACUCAAGCUAAGGGGAAAAAAGAAGAGAUAAUAACUCCAAGUAUUACCCCAUCCACAACAGUUGGAAUAUUAGCCUGCCGUGCAUGCCUCAUGAUAUUACUCACACAAUCCUACAAAUACGAUAUAAUGUUGAGAUAUCAGAAAGUAUGGAUCCUAAUAUUACUUUUGUAAAAAGACUGUUCCUACACAAUCUAAAUGAACAGAAAAUUACAAAAUAAUAACACUUAAAGGGGGAAUUGAGGAAAGAAUCCAAAAUGAAACUUUUAGCCUGUUUGGAUUUAGGUUACCAUGUGUCCACAUCUAGCCUUAGCCAGCCAUAGUUUUAGUAGUCACUAGUCAGUGUAUUUUUUGCCACAACAUGCCAGCCUAAGUUAUUCAUAUGUACUUAGAGUCAAAGGAAUACUUCUCUCACAGGGUUCUCACAUCUAGUUAUGUUAUAUUCCUGAAUUAUAUACAAAUAUAGGAAAAAUAUAGGAAAUAUUAUCAAAUUAGUUGAUCUUUUUUUUCUCUUUCCUAUCCUUUUGCCAGGAGUCAAUCUUGCUUCUUGACUUCAACAAAAACUGAAGUAUAGCACAACUAAACCAUGAACUCCAGUAAAGAAGUGGAGAAUUAAGCUGGACAGACAAAAUUACAUAGAAUUUAAAACAAAAGCAUAAAAAGAUGCCGAUACAAUAUUUUUUGCAAAAACCCAGAAUAAAGUACCUGUUUCUAAAUUGCUGUGCUGGAAACAACUAAUAACACUCAAUAGGACUGAGGUACGAAGUACUAUAUUCUUUAAAACAGCAAACUAACCAGAAGAAAUGAGUCCCUUCCAAGGCCAGGACCAACAACAAUGCAAUCAAAGCGCUCCAUCCAUUUUCCAACUUCAGUAAGAAUCUUAGAAGAAACAGAUGCUCGUUCAUCAUCCCUGCCAAGAUGAUUUACAGAAUGAUAUUCUUAUAUAAACAUUAAAAUGCUGCACCGUGAGAUUGCAAACAUAAACGAAACUUCAGUUAACGUUAAAAAAAAGAAACUUCAGUUACCUUACACUGUAAGAUUCUUCUAAUAUUGGAUGUACAAUUAGUUCAGGGCUAUAGCUCUUAAUUACUGUAGCAGCAUCUUUUGUGCAGAAAACAUGUGAAAGAUCUGCACCCUGAAAGGCAUAAUGUGAAAUAUUGGUAAUGAUAGCUUUAAGUGAUGGAACUUUUAGAUGAUACUGACAACUUUCAAGGCAGAGAUAGCGGCAAAAUAAGGAGCACCAGUGUACUCACGACAUCCUCCGAUUACUGCUAUCUUCCCUGAGAAUAUAAUCAUACAUAACAUAAGCAACUUUCAAUAAUAACAGAAAUUUCAUUUGACACACACCAGAGUUAAGAUUCAACAAUUAACAAAAAUGAAAAUAAUAUAAGAUGCAUAUCCAAAAAAAAGACAAAAACAAAAAUGUAAAUUCAUUUAAAUAUCCUCAUGUUUUGUACACUAAUAGCUCUAGCUUAAAAUUACUUCUAUAUGCGACAACACUAUACCCAGUAAGAAGCUGCCACAGGUUUCCCGACCCUGAGCAUGUGCAUUAUUAUGACUUCUCUACGGCUGAUUACAUCACAACAAGCAAGCCCACCCUGGGACCUUAAUGGCCGGUGAACACUGUGGUUAAACUGAACCCACUUAGGGCCUGUUUGGCAGAGCUCCUAGAGCUGAUUCUCUGCUGAAUCCAGCUGGAGCUCUGCCAAACAGUUUUUUAGAGAGAAGUGAUUCUCCGAUGAUUCCGUGAACUGAUUCUCUGCAAUGAACUAAGAGUUUGAGAGCUAGAAAAAGUAGCUUCUCCUACUUCUGUAAAGUGAUUUUAUGCUAAAGAAUCAAAGAGAGCCACAGAAUUACUUCUCUUAGAGAAUCAGUUUCCAUAAAGAAUCAGAAUCAGAUAGAGCUCUACCAAACAGACACUUAAUAUCCAUCAUGAACUUCUGUCACAUUCCCACAUACCGAACAAGGACUUCUAUUUCAACACUAACCAAUGCCCCUGAAUUUGUUUCAGUGGCAGAGAGAAUGAACUCCUUAGCUCCAGAGAAGGGUUCUGACACUUGGGCCUACAGAACUCGAAUUGAACAGAAUCCAAACCUAAAAUUGUACAGCGAGCUCGGAUGAGUGUCACCCCUAGUGUUGUUUACAACAUGGGAGAACAAUGAACCACCGUCCCCGAAACAACCACCAAUAGCCUGUCGACUGAACCCAGCAUCCCAGAGCGCUCCACUGAGCACCAGGGAAUUCCAUCAAACACGCUGCGCGCAUCAGCAGCCCGACCGCAAGAAACACACUCGGACACAAAGCAGAGCGCGUGAGCAGACCAAGAUGGGCGGGCGGCGGUACCGACCUGCCUGGCCCUUGUGCCUGGCGCGGUCGAGUGGCGGCGUGAUCCGGCGCACGACGGCCUCCGCGUCCGCCUCGUACACCGUCCCGGCGGACGCCGCCAUCGCGUGGUUGGUCCGGACCCGGAGGAAGCUGGAGCACGAGGGGCAGGAUGGGGGAAAGCCGGCGACGGAGGAGGGGGCAGGCGGGGAAGGGAGGAGGGAGCGGAGCAGGA